GAUGGCCGUGAUGCCCUCCUCCAUGAUGGCCGUGAUGCCCUCCUCCGUGAUGGCCGUGAUGCCCUCCUCCGUGAUGGCCGUGAUGUGCUCCACCUCCAUGGCAGCCAAGAGCAUGUGGAGGAGGAGCAUGGUGAGGGCCUGGGUGAGGUAUCAUGGCGAGGACGCUCUGAUCUCUAUGAAUAUUUGAUUGGGGCGACUGUACCAGUGCAUGGAGGUGGUGUCCCCCUUUGUGACCACCUCGACCACCAUGUGGAUGGUGUCCUCCGCCAUGACCGUGUCCAUGGUGUCCAUGAUAGCCAUGAGCACAAGGAGACGGAUGAUGAUGAAUCAUUUUCUGGACAAAACCUGAGUGUGGAGAAGUCUUGAUGUUGUGGUAGCAAGCUUAGGAAGAUGAAGAUUAAUGAAGGUAUGUGGAUUCUAUACCCAUCACUUCUUUCUAUAUAUACACAUUGCGUUCACACAGCGUUGAUGACUGUUGCCGUUUUACGCGCCCUGCCACACGUCGUCCACUUGGAGUUUCUCUCUGAGCCGACCUUCAAAACUCAUUUGCUUGCUUCCCACUUUACUUGCCUCCCAAGUAAGAUAAUUAAUAUAAUUAAUAUAAUGCCACACAAUGUUGAUAUUUUUCAAAUUAGAGCUUACUUGCUCGAGUGUUUUUCCCAAAUGUCAAAAUGAACUUGCAUCAUCCACUUCAUCAGCAUUGAUUAAUUUAUUUUCCUUCCUUUUGUUUCUUGAAUUUUUGACAAGAGUACGAUAGUUUUAAAAAAUAAUUAUUAAAUUAUUGUAGUAGAAAAAAUAAUUCAAAUAUAUCAUAAUUUUGUUUAGAUAUCAGAGAGAAAAUAAAUUGGAAGUGAAAAAUCGUCUCUUCAAAAGACGAUUUAAAAAAAAAAUUAUAAAAUGAGAAAUAAAUGAAGUGAGAAAUCGUCUUUUGAAAUAUGAUUUUCACAAGCAUAAAAAAUAAAUAAAAAAUUAAGAAGUGAGAAAUUGUCUCUUCAAGAGACGAUUUCUAAAAAAUAAAAAUAAAAAUAAAAAUAAAAUCAAGUAAGAAAUUCUUUUUUUAAAAAAGAAAACCUAAGUAGGAAAUCGUAUUUUAAAGAGACAAUUUCCACAAAAAAAAAAUAUAUGUGAGAAAUUCUCAUUUAAAAAAAAAAAAAAAAAAACAAGGGGGAAAUUGUCUCUUGAAGAGACAAUUUCCACACCAAAGUGAGGAAUCUGAAAAAAAGCCAAGUGGGCAGCACAAAAGUGAGAAAUUCUCACUAAAAAAAAAACAAAAAACAAAAACAAAACCUUAGAAAAACCACUUUUUUUCAUUCUUUAUUUUAUUUAUACAAUAAUAAAAUUAUUAUAAAAUUAAAUAAUUUUAUUUAUUAAAUUUAAUAUAUAAAUAAUAUAUUAAUAUAAGAUAAAUAAUAUUUACAUAUUAUUUUUUUCUUUCACUUUGGAAUAAUAAUAAUAAAAAAUUAUUAUCAAUUUUAUGUGAAAAUUAAGUUUAAAAAAUUGUUAUUAAUUUAUUAAAUAAAAAAUAAAAAAACAAAAACGUCAAAAAUUAUGUCUUCAAGAGACGAUUUUAAAAAAAACUUUAAAAAUCCAUUUUUUUUCAUUCCCUAUUAUACUUAUACAAUAAUACAAUUAUUAAAAAUAUAUAUUAUAAAAUUAAUUAAUUUUAUUUACUAAAUUUAAUUUAUAAAUAGUAUACUAAAUUUAAUAUAAGAUAAAUAAUAUUUAUCUAUUGUUUUUUUCUUUCACUUUGGAAUUAAAAAAAAAAAAAAAACUACUAUCAAUUUUAUGUGAAAAAUGAGUUUAAAAAAUAAACCUGUUAUUAAUUUAUUAAAUAAUUAUUUACAAAAUAAAUAAUUUUGUUUUGUUUAAUUUUUAAAUUAAUUUUAUUAUAUAAAUUUUAAGAUUAAAAAUAUUAAUCUUUAAGUUAAAAUUUCAAUGUAAAAAGGAAUAAAAUAUAAAAAAAAUAAGUUAAAUAAUUUUAAUUGUUCUUAAUCUUCAAAUUUUCUUUGAAUUAAUUCAAUUAAUUACAACUAAUAAAAUUAAUUUAGUUUGAUAUUGUUUUUUAUUUAUAAGAUAAAUAAUAUUUAUCUAUUUUUUUGUUUAUGUGAAAAAUGAUUUUUUUUUAAAAAUUUGUUAUUAAUUUAUUAAAUAAUUAUUUAUAAAUAAAUAAUCUUAUUUUGUUUUAAUUUUUAAAUUAAUUUUAUUAUAUAAAUUUUAAAAUUAAAAAUAUUAAUAUUUAAUUUCAAAUUUCACUAUAAAAGGAAUAAAAUAUAAAAAAAAAAUAAAUUAAAAAUAGAAUAUCAUAAUUAUAAAAAAACCAAUAACAUUAUUUAUGUAAAUGUUAAAAAACCAACAAACAACCCAACAAUUAAUAAAAUAUCAACCAUGAUAGAAAUUCAAUUAUUAUUAUGAAUGCAAAAAAACCAAUAAUAUAACUUGUAUUAAUAUGUUCAAUUUCUAAACAAUCAAACGUAUUCAAAUACUAAAUGAUCAAAAAUCAACUACUAUUAUGAAUAAAAAAAACUAAUACUUUGUCCAUAUAUAUAAACUAAUAAACCAACAAACAUCCUAACAACUAACAAAAUAAUAACGAUGAAUACCAAUAAAGCUAAAAUAUUAAAAUUCAACAUUACUAGAUGACAACUUCAAUAUUAGUAGACGAUAAAUUAACAUAUGUCACUAAUAAACUAACAACCAAUAAAAGUUUGCAUGCAUCAUCAAUACAAAUAAACCAACAAGCAACAAAAGAGCAACAUGUAUCAUCAAUUUAUGUUCGAUAAAAGAUAUAAAAGUCGUCAAUGUGUGCCACAUGAAGGAGGCUUCCUUCUUCGUUGUGGGCGUUAGUGACAUUUUUCCAACUCGGAUUGAUCUGAGGAACCAUCUAAUGUUGCUCCAUUUCCUCUUUUUCGUCCACGUCCUUGAUCUUGAACCUGAUUCUCUCCUCGUUGUUCAACAAGUGGUGUAGGAAAGUAUUGCAUUUGUGUCGCCACAUCAUCUCUAAAUGAAUGUCUUAAUGAUUGUGGUGACAAAGCAAUGAGUGGUGCUAUAGGUGGAGUAAAUGACACCUCGAUACUAGACGACAUAGGUAUAUGAAAAGAAGGCCCAUCAAUAUAAGAAUGCAAUAGCUCCUGGAUGAAUGAUGUCUCAACAUCUUCUUGUAUCACCCCCUCAUCAAUGAAUGGAACUGAUGAAUGAGGUAGUGACUGGUCAAGUGGUGUAGAAAAAGUGAAGACAGUAUGUUGUAGAGGCAAUGAUGAUGGAAAAUCUAGCGAUGCAUCAUCGAUAAGGAAGUGUGGAUCAUUAGAAAUAUGGCCUCCACGUGUUCGUACACCUCCACCUCUAGUUCGAACACCUCCACAUCUAGUAUGUACCCCACCACCUUUGGUCCGCACCCCACCACCUCUAGUUCGUGUCCCACCAUUUCUCAUCACUACCUCCUCAUUCGAUGAUUGUCUCUCUGUAUCAACGACAUUAGCGGGAAUAAGCAACCUAUCAGCCUCGUGUAUAACCUCUAAAGUGGUUGCACUUAAUUGAUGAAUUUCAUCACGAUGACUUAUAUUCGGUGUAUCUAAACUAGUCCAUAGAUGUAUCUGUUGCAUACUGCGAUUUUGUAAGAAUUAAAAAUAAAAAGUUAGAUGUUUUUCUAAUUAGAAAAAAAUAUAAUAAUAAAUAAAAAGACAUUGUAAUUACCACUAUCUCCCAUGAAAAUCCAUGUGGAGUAAGAAAAAGACGAGUGACAGAACGAUACCACACCAUAUAUGGGUGGUUAUACCCGUAAGAAGUAGAUGUUGCCUCAUUUCUAGCGAAAUGAUCGUACCUAGCCUCCCACCUUUGAAUAUAGUGAUGAUGAAUACUCAUCCAAUCCAAAUCAUGUUGACCCCUCAAAUCAUAUUUAUGUAAUCCCAAUUCUGUAUCGCACUGCUCAGGAAUAUGCUAUAGUAGCCCAAAUUGCCUCAAAACACGAUCAAGUCUAUGCCACUCCACUAUGUGGAAACAGAUAAGGGGUGAAAUAGUCAAACACAAGUAAGAGGAAAUAGUAUGGUAAUCUGGGAGUCCAGAGAUGACAUCAUUAGUAUAUGACUCCCAUAUAAUCUACAAUUAAAUUUGAAAUAUGACUCACAUUAUUUAAUAAUAUUUUGAUUACAAAUUGUUUAAAAAAAUUAUUCAAAAUAAUGAAUUUCUCAUCUGCUCUGGCAUAAGUCAAUCAAGUAGAUAUCUAUACUAGGGUAACACAUGCAUAUGCGUCGAAGUAGUACAAAACUCAUCUCUCCAACUACAAAAAGAAUAUAUAUAUAUAUUAAAAGUUUGUAUAAUUGUUUAUUUAUGUAUAUAUGUGUUUACAUAUGCUAUAACUAAGGUUGAAUAUAUACCGCAUGCCUAAAGGUGGUUGUGGCAGUACUCCAUCAUGUAGGGCCGAAUGUAAGCGCAUAGGUUCUGCAGGGUCCCAAAUGAAUUGGCUUAUUCGAAAAAAGCCUUGUUCUUUGGAAGAUCUAUCUCGUGUCUAGUACUGCAUGGUUCCACUCUACAAGAACUCCGAAUCAUUCUCUUGAAGCUCAUCCUCUUCAUCAUAAAUGAUCCGCUUGCCCCGAAAAGACCUGGCCCAAUAGGGAAAUCCCAAUUCAUUGGUCCUUUCGAUACAAUCAAAUAGAAAGCCCCAAGGGCACCAUAUUUUAUAAAGGGAAAUCUAUCCCAUAUCCAUAACUGUAACAAAAUGAGAGGACCCCAUACAUCAUGUGCAUCAAUACGAGAUGCUCGACACAUCUCUCAAUAUAGCCAAGCUAGGCAAGCACUACCCCAACUAUAAGUACCAGUAACUCCAAAAUCCUCAAGUAGUAAUAAAAACAUUAAAUAUACCCUAUUGUUCGAUUUAUCCACAAAAAAAACCUCCAAUCAAUAAUAUGAUAAAUGCCUUAGCAUAGCAUCGCACAGACUCCACAUCGGCAUCAGGUGCCAAUGAAGGAAAAUGCUCUAUCAACCAAGUCAAACGAAGUAUUUGUCCAAAUAUAUCUCUAUCUUUAGGCACCACUCCUAACAAUGUAGCACACACCUCUCUCCAAUCCAAGCAUGUAUUAUCGCUAAUUGCAACACCAUCAAUCGGUAAGCCUAAAAUAAUGGUAACAUCCUGAAGUGUGAUGACACACUCUCCUUGAGGUACAUGGAAAGUGUGGGUCUUAGGGUGCCAUCUCUCUAUAAAUGUUGUAAUAAGGUGCCAAUCCAAUGAAAUGAAACCUAAUCAGGCAACAUUGUAGAAUCCAGAUUGUUGCAAAUAUGGAAUGAUGCGUGCAUCUAAAACACUAUUACGAUAGAAACUGACUUUACAAUGUCAACAAUGGAGCUCUCCAGGAUCAUUUCCUUCCCAUAUAAGCGAAAAUAGGUGUACUUCCUGAUUAUACAGAAUAGAACGAUCUACAGGUCUAGGAUCCAUGAGAAUGUAUUCCCUACAUCAUUUAAAUAAUUUCAUUAGUUUAUUACAAGACAUUCCAUUGACAUUAUAUGGAAAUAACUCAAUAUUCAUCUUUAAUGUUAAAAAAAAAACUUUCAUUUAAAUAGUAAAAUUUUCAACUUGAACUUACAAUAUCAUUAAGCGGUUGUGUUAGAAGACUCUCCUCUAUUAGGACAUUUUCGACGAUUGUAACCCUCCUGUUUACAAAGCCCAUGUCGGAUUUUGACACUUAGUUUUCUCCAAUCCAUUUCAUUCUUAAUCCUUCAAGAUCUUGGUCUUCAUUUAUCACGUACUAGAGUUGGAUUAGGAUGAACAAUUGGAAAAUUAGGUUCUAACCAAUAGGCUUGAUGUGGAAUUGGAUUGAAUUGUGGUGUAUAGCAACAACCAUAUACAUCCAUCCUAUAAUGUUUGUCAACAAAUUGCCAACUAUCAAUCCUUGCACGUGCACAUAUAACUAGCACAUGUGAACAUGGGAUACCAAAUGAUUGUCAUUUAUUACAAGUACAUGUUCUUUCUUUCAGCUUCACAAUUUGUAUAUUAUUUCCUUUAUCCAUAUGAAACCCAUGGGGAGCAGUUGUCACUUCAAAUAUCUCAUUUGAAUGAUGAAAGAUAUUGACAGUGUGUCCACUAGCCCUUGAUUCAUAUUUUGUUAUUUUGUUAAUGGCAUAGGAAGUAUACAAAUUUCCAUUUGCAAUUCGAGUUUGUAUCUCUGUUCGACAAGUCUUGAAAUAUGAAACACAAAAAUAGAAAGUUAAUCGAACAAGAGUAGUGAUAGGCAACAUUCUAGCCCCUUUAAGCACUCCAUUUAUGCAUUCAACAAUAUUUGUAGUCAUCCAACCAUACCGAUGUCCUCCAUCAUGUGUCAAAGUCCAUUUCUUCGUGUCCAACCUGUUAAACCAUUCUAAGCAUUUCUUAUCUAAUCAUUUUAACUCAGUCAUACAUGACUCAUACUUCCGUGGUUGAUGUUGAGACCUAGCUCUAUACACUAAGUCUUUUAACAUCUUAUUUCUAUAUUUAUCACUGAAAUUGCUUGCCACAUGCCUAAGACAAUAUCGAUGGUGUGCAUAAGGCAAGUUUCAUUCAACACUAGGAUCCUUAAUGGUGGUUUGUGUUCCUACAUGACGAUCAUAAAUGAGACAUAUGCCUUCUCUUUGCGUCACUUGACUCCUUAAUGUAAAAAGAAACCAAGACCAACUAUCCGAUGAUUCUUCUUCAAUAUUGCAAAUGCAAGAGGGAAGAUAUGACCAUUAGCAUUGAUUGAUGUUGUAAUCAAAAGUUUCCCUAUGUAUUUUCCAUAUAAAAAAGUACCAUCUAUUUGUAUUACUGGUCUACAAUGGUUAAAUCCUUCAACACAUGCCCCAAAAGCUCAAAACACACACAUAAAACGUACAUUUCCAUUGCAACCUACUAGUACUGAUGUCUUCCAAACAACCUUAGUCACAGGGUUAGUAAGUUUAACAAUAUUCAUCCACCUAGGUAAAGCUUGGUAAGAUUCAUCCCAAUCACCAAAUAUCCAUAUGAUUGUUUUCCUCUUUGCUCCCCAAAUCCUCUUGUAAUGAACAUUAUAACCAAAUUUAUCUUUCACUAUUUGAUGUAAUGCAGCAAUUGAAAUUGUAUGAUCACUUUGGACUACAUUUUGAACUUCUUGUGCAAUGAAUGUGGAGUCUAAUUGUGAGUGGUCUUGUGAUAGUUUAGGGUAAACACAAGUGUGAGGACCUGUGUACUUUGUUAUAUCAAACAAACCAUGAGAUUAACGAGGACAUGCACGAAGCCUCCAAUUACGACCCUCAAACCACUUUUUGCACUUUACAACCCACAUAUAUGGCUCGGAUUCAAUAACAAUCAAAUGUUGAUUCCUACAUAUGGAAUAACGUUUAACAACAUAUUGUAAAUCUACCCUACUCUCAAACCGCAAACCCUUAAACAUUUCAUCUGAUUCACUCCAUAAGCCAGUGCGUGCUGUUAAAUCCUUGUCAACCAUGGAGUUAAUUACAUCCCAAUUCAAUUUUCUAAAUAUUGGGGAAGGGACAUCAUGUUCACUACCACCUAGCAAUGAUGUAUCAUUUUCUGUAUUUUCAUUAUCCUCUAUGUCCAUAAUACCCUCAUUGCCAUCAUUUUCAUCAAAUAACUCCACAUUGUCAUCGCCAUUUCCAGGUAAAAUAUCAACAUAAUUUUCAAUUGUCAUUACAAUUGAAUUAAUAACCCCCGCCAAAUCUACCCCAACUAUAAGUUCCAUGUCAUUAUCAUAACUUUUCAUAUACCCUAACUAUAAGUACCAUUUGUUGACUUGGACCUAGACUUUCAAUAUGCGUAAAGCUACUUGGCAUGGGGUGAUAAUCAAUUGAAGAAGUUUGACAAUACAUUUUAAUAGUAUGUGGAGGAGGAGAUUGUGCGAAAAUAGUAAACAUCAUGCUCACAUCACCAUCAUCUCGAAUAGGCAAAGGGACAUAAUUAACAGUACCUCUUCCAUUUGGAAAGGGAAUUGGAUAUCGGAAUACCAUAUUUAACUUGGUGUAAGUACGAUUAAUAUUUAGAGCGUGACACAAUUUUGUUUCUAACUCAUUAAUUGUUGUCAUACUAUUGAUUGAAACACCUUUCUUAGGAGGAUGAUUAUAAUAUACCCCAAAUUCACAAUCAAUAAUUUCACCACUAGUAUAACACAACACUAUGGUGUAACUGUCUAUUAUCAAACCUAUUCAAAAUAUCAACAAAGAAGUAUCAUCAUCAAUAAACUUUAUGAUAAUGAUUGAUAUACAAUAUGUAUUUUGUAAAUCUAUUUUACUAAUAUUAUGGUGCAUUGUCCAUUACUAAAUCUAUUUUUUAAAAGUCAUUUUUUUCAAAAAUAAGAAUACACAACUACUAUUUUUUAUUCUCAUAUUAUAUACAUUAAAAUGUCCAUUUAAAUAAAUCAAAUAACAUUUUAGUUUUAUUUCUACUUUUAUUUCUAUUUUUAUUUUGAGCUCUCAAUAUCUUACAAUAAUUUUUUCAACAAUUUAAGACUAAUAUUAAUUUUUAAAAAAUAUAUAAAAUAAAUUCAUAAUUUCGGAUAAUGUUCUAUUUAUAUUUCUUAUAUUUUAAUAUUUUUAAAAUAAUAUUAUAAUGUGGACUCGUAUUUUUCACGUGUGUCCCCACUCAAUCGGCGAGACUCAUUUUUUUUUUUUUUAAUGAUGAAAAAUUAUUUCGGAAAACUCAGAGUCGCCACUUAUUUUAAUUUAUUUAAAAUGGAAAAUAAAAUAAGAAAGAAAACCCUAAAGGAGUGACUCCAUAGUUUUGGAAAAGCAUGCCUUUGAAAACCCGAGUCUUGGUUCGGGGAUCAGGUUACCUAUUGGGAAGAUACCUCUAAGAGGUAGUACCCCUCUAAGCCUUAAAGAGGUCUCCAAUGACUAAGUUGAGAGGUAUGUGACAAUUAAUUAAUUGAUUGAAAAUACCUAGGUAGACUAAGGUGAUUUCAGAAUUAACAUACCAAGCCAGAAAGUCAAAUCAUGAUCAUAAAAAAGAGUCAAAGUGUGUACCUGAACUACUUCUCAAGUGUUAUCAUAAAACAUCAAAGUUAGUUUGAAUAGUAUAUUGCUCAACAUGCAUUUCACCAAAGAUAAUCAAACAAGUGUCAAGGCAAUCAAGGACAACGUUCAAACAUGGAUAUAGCUCAUGAUAACAUACAUAUUCAUAGAAUUUUUUAGUUAGGCGGGGAGGGGGGUGCAGAAAGAGUGUACUUGAUUAGUGAGUAUCAAAACCUUUAUGGGAAACAAGGAUAGCUCAAUAACAACUAUAAAAUAAUUUCAUGUAUUCACAAAGAGGAAACACAAUCAAUCAAAUAUCAAACAAAAAAUAUUGAAGAAAAUAUCAUGGAUGUUGGGCCCUACCAAAACCCUAAUUAAUUUUGCAUGAGUUGAUUCCAUGAAUUCUAUUGUAUGGAAUCAUGAAGUUUGUUCAUGCUUGUUGAAAAACCAUGAAAAUGCAUGCCAUAAGGAAAUUUGGCAAUAAAAGUUUAUUGGAAACGAAGAUUUUUAUUACCUAGAAGAAAUCUAAAGAUGAAUUUUUAAAGAUGGAAUUAUUCAGUAAAAAAUGGAUAUGAAAAAUCUAAAGAUUGAGACUCUCUUGAUUGUAUUUCCUUUGAACUUACCCAUGUUAUGUUGCACCAUCUUGAUUGAACUGCUUAAAAGAUCUUUAUCUUACCAAGUUCAGGAAUCGUUCCAGUUAUACCAAUGAAUAUCCUAUAAGAUCGAGAUGCUAUUGCGUAUCCGAAAUUCAGUGGUUGGUUCGGGCUGAGACACUGUCAACCUUCAUAGUAGGAAUCCUUCUGAUAUUGCACUUGGGUUUACCUAUUUCAUUAUUAGUCUAAUAUGCCAAGGUGUCAUUGCUCAUGUAACCCAUCCACGUGGCCAAUGACUUGAGUAUUUUAUCAAGGUCAAAUCUUGGUGGAUCGACUUGACCAUGACGUUUGAAAUUUUUCUAGGUUUCGUAAUCAUGCUUUGCAAAAGUCAGAGAUAUUAUGCCCAGGAAACUAAAUCAGAAGGAGACACCGAUAAUAGAAAGGAACCUGUUGACAACUCCAACAACAUGAGCAAUAUCAGGCCUCGUGCAUACCAUGACAUACAUCAAGCUACCCACAGCUAAUGCAUAGGGCACCUUUCGCAUUUCUUCUUUUUCUUUCUCACUUGAAGGACUUUAUUUGCAACUUAGCUUUAGAUGACUUCCAAGUGGAGAACUCAUUGGUUUUGCUUUACCCAUGUUGAACUUGUCUAAAACCUUCUCAAUAUAGCUUUCUUAAGAUAGCCACAAUUUUCCAUUUGUCCCAUCUCGAGAAAUCUUUAUACCAAGAAUUUGAAUUGCAGGCCCCAAGUCCUUCAUUUCAAAGGACUUGCUCAACUCCUUUUUCAGUUUAUCAAUUUUACCAAUAUCACGACCAAUAAUCAACAUGUCAUCCACAUAUAGCAAAAAAAUAAUAACUUCUCCAUCAGAGAAUUUCUUCACAAACACACAAUGGUCAGAAGCAGUUCUAUCAUACCCAUGCUCAACCAUGAAGGAAUCAAGCUUCUUGUACCAUUGUCUAAGUGCCUGCUUGAGACCAUACAAGCUCUUCUUCAGUCGACACACUAAGUAUUCCCUGCCUUUGAUUAUAAACCUUUAUGGUUGCUCCAUAUAUAUUUCCUCCUCUAAGUCACCAUGGAGGAAAGCAGUCUUGACAUCAAGCUGUUCAAUCUCUAGAUUCAUACUACCAAUCAAGCCUAACACAACUCAGAUUGAAGACAUCUUAAUCACAGGUGAGAAAAUAUCUUCAAAGUCAAUGCCUUUCUUCUAACUAAAACCCUUCACAACCAAUCUUACCUUGUACCUUGGCUGUGAUAUGUUUGGUUCAGGCUUCCUUUUCAGUACCCAUUUAUUCUUCAAUGCUUUCUUACCCUUAGGCAACUCCAUCAAUUCAUAAGUGUUGUUUUUAUGCAAGGAUUUCAUCUCUUCAUGCAUAACUUUCAACCACUCUAUUUUCUUGUCAUGUAGCAGAGCCUUUUGAUAAUUUUAUGGCUCUCCCCCAUCAGAAAGCAACAAAUACUCAUCACUAGUAUACCUUUUGGAAGGUUGAUGCUCUCUAGUAUAUCUUCUUAAUUGUGUUUCAGUAGGCAACUCUGAAGUAGCUUGUUCUUGCUGCUGUUCUAGGCCAUCAUUCUCAACUGUUGGAUUUUCUUCUAUAUCAUCAACUACAGACUCAUCAUUUUUAUCAACUGUAUCAACCAGUUCUUCUUGCACAACUUCCCUGUGUUCAUUAUGUUCCAUAGAGUUAAGAGAGACUGGACCCAAAUCAACCUGUUCUUCACUGAAAGGCUUUAGCUUCUUAACUUGAUCCAAGUCUUCAAUGGUUUGAUCUUCAAAUAAGACAACAUCUUUGCUUAUUAUAAUCUUUUUGGUAGCUGGAUCCCAUAACCUAUACCCAAAAUCUUCAUUUGAAUAACCCAAGAAGAUACAUUGUUUAGUCUUUCUAUCAAGCUUGGACUGCUUGUCUCUAGGAACAUGAACAAAUGCCCUGCAACCAAACACUCUCAAGUUCUCAAAGGAAACAAAUUUUCUUGUCCAAACUCUCUUUGGAAUAUCACCCUCUAAGGAUAUGAUGGAGACAAAUUAAUCAAAUCAACGGCUAUCCUCAUGGUCUCACCCCAAAAAGACUUAAGCAAUUUUGCAUGAGAGAGCAUACACCUGAUUCUAUCACAGAUGGUUCUAUUCAUUCUCUCAGCUACACCAUUUUGCUGUGGGGUCUUAGAAACCGUCUUCUCAAGCCUGAUGCCAUGACUUCUGCAGUAUUGCUCAAAUGGCCCCUUAUAUUCACCACCAUUGUUUGCUCUGACAGAUUUUAACUGCUUGCCAGUUUGCCUUUCAAUCUUCACAUGAAAAUCUUUGAAUACAUCAAGUACCUGGCCUUUGGAUUUCAAAGCAUAUGCCCACACCUUUCUUGAAUGAUCAUCAAUAAAAGUCACAUAAUAAAGUGCACCACCAAGAGUAUUAUUUUGCAUAGUACAAACAUUAAUGUGAACUAAAUCAAGAAUAUUUUGUUUUCCACAUGAAGGAAAUCUAUGAAAUGCAACUCUACUUUGCUUUCCAGACAUACAAUGUGUACAAGUUAAUAGUGACGUACCUUUAACCGGUAGAAGCUUCUUUCUGGCAAGAACCUGAAGUCCCUUUUCACUCAUGUGACCAAGCCGCUUAUGUUAUAGCUUAGUAGAGGCUUCAUUCUUAACAAUGUUCACCUCUCCCUUGACUAGUCUCACUUCUAUCUUGUAGAGGGUAUUGUUUUUCUUCCCCCUAGCUAAAACAAGAGAACCCUUAGUAAUCUUCCACUUACCUUCUCCAAGGUGACUAUGGUAGCCCUCAUCAUCAAGCUUCCCAACAGAGAUCAAACUAAAGCGCAUUUCAGGAACAUGUCUAACAUCUUUCAGAACCAAUUUGCACCCAAUAUGAGUUUCUAGAUCUACAUCUCCCAUGCCAACAAUUUCACAUUUUGCUUCAUUUCCCAUCCUAACCCAACCAAAACUACCAUUGGUGUAGGAAGAGAAGAAAUCUCUAUGUGCAGUGAUAUGAAACGACGUUGCUGUAUCAACCACCCAAGUGGAAUCCUGGCAUGCAAGGUUUACACAUGUAUCAUCACAAAUAAUGAUCGCAUCACCAUCAAAUGCAACUGUUGCAAUGUCUUUGUCCUCUUUAUGUUCUUCACCUUUUCUUUUAAACUGUUCUCUUCUGAAUUUUUUGCACUCUCUCUUAAUGUGCCCUGGCUUGUCAUAAUAAAAACACUUUAUCUCUUUUCUGGACUUUGACUUUCUUCUUGACUUGUCACGAUUAUAAUCACUGGAAGGUUUUUUGCUUUUACUUCUUCCCCGCCUCUCUAUAAUAAGUGCUUCUAUAUUAGAGGAAAUACUUAACUCUUUUCUUCUUGCCUCUUCAUUAAACAUGUUGUCUUUUACCAUGUUGAUAGUUAUCACACCAUUUGGGGCUGAAUUACUCAAAGAUACCACCAAAGUUUCCCAACUAUCUGAUAAGGAACUCAACAAAAGUAAAUCAUGUACCUCAUCAUCUAGCUCAAGCUUCAUGGUAGACAACUCAUUCAAUAGUCCCUGAAAAUUACUAAGAUGUUAUGCAACACUAUUACCAUCCUUGUACUUUAAAUUCACAAGCCUCUUUAUAAUAAAGGCUUUUUUUUGUGUAGUCUUUCUCUCAUAAAGACUCUCUAAUUUUUGCCAAAGGCUAUAUGCAUCAACUUCCUUGGCUACAUGAUGGAAGACACUCUGAUCAACCCAUUGCCUAAUCUGUCCAACGGUUUUCCUAUUUAAUUUCUUCCAUUCAUCCUCAAUUGUAGUAAUUGGCUUGUAACCCCUGCAUUCAAUGGGCUCAAACAACUCUUUGCAAUAUAGAAUAUCCUUCAUCCUAGUCUUCCAAAUUGAAUAAUUGGAAGAUAUGAGUUUAAUCAUUCCACUACUAGCCUCCUCCAUUUAAUUCACACAAGAGAUCUCAUUGCUAAUCAACUUGGCUCCGAUACCACUUGUUUAGGUGAAUUCACAAUAUUCCAACAAACACUAGGAUUUUUCUACCAUUUAUUUGUGAAAAAUUAAAUAGGUAACAACAACUAGCAACAAUAAAUAAAUAAACUCAUGCAACAUAAAAAUAAAUUAGACACCAGAAUUUUUACGUGGAAAACCCCUCAAUGCGAAGGGAAAAACCACGGGACCUAGUCCAGUUCAAACUUCCACUAUUAAUAAUAAUGGGUUACACUUGUAUUAUCUAGAAUAAUAUUUAGAGGCAACAAAUAUAUCAAGAGCACAUAUAGCCUUGGAUUAUACAAUCUCUCUUGGAAAAAAAAAACAAAGAAAAUUGGAGAAAGAAUACCCAAAAAGAUGUCAUUACUGUUCACGGGUAGUAACACCAAUUUCUGAGCUCAAAAUCUAAUCUUUACCAUUCAGAUUGUAGCUACUCAAGUUUCGAACCUCUCCUCCAAAUUUCAACUCGAUUAGACCACAAAUGAAGCGGGAUCAACUCUUUGAUGAAAUCUGGCCAAUGAGAUGUGUUUUUCCUUUCUCUCUUCUCUUCUCUUUGUUUUUCCUUUUUCACAAUCUCUUUUUGUUUUUGUUUAUGUAUUGUAACUAACUUGGGCCCCAAGAAUAUGGAGCCCACUCCCUCACAUAUGAGGGAGCCCAACAUCCUUGGAAUUUGAGGUAAUAAACCCACGAUUGAAAUCAUUCACAAUAAUGUUUUUCACAUUGAAACUGAAAUUGUCACUAGGCAAAGCCUCUGGGAGAGACUGAUGGUGCAUCUCAACAAACUUAACUUCAGUUGUCAGUUUAGAGGGGCCAAAAGUCACCACCAUGUCGGGCUGCAGAGCACCAUUUUACAGACUGGGAGUAUUUUGGUAUGAUUUGAAGCUCAAUACCAGUCGAUUAUUCCAUGAAAUAGUAAUCUCAUCAGAAAUUACUAAGCAUGCUCUCUUUUCCAAACUUGGGUACCAAGUUCUAGCAGCAUCCAAAAGCCAAUCUCUAACAUCAUCAACUGAUGAUACACAUAAUGCCAUGCACCCAAAAUACACAUAGGAACAAAGGAAGACAACCAAGAAAACAGAGUACGAAGGAUGAAACCAGAAUGAACCAGUGAAAGUCAUGUUUCAUGUUUCGAUCCACGGGCUUAGAUGUAUGUGAGUGAGCCAGAAUGCAUCCCAUGGAAAUGAAAACAAAAGCAAGACUCCUAUGUGAUGCGAAGUGAAGCUAAAACAAAGUUGUGUUGCUCUCAAAUCACUCUAAAGAAAAUGAAGGAGAUAGCAGCAAUAAACCCAUAAACCAAACAGAAAUCAUAAAAUUAAACACCUAGUUAAGCAAUCCACAGAAAAUAUCGAGAAAAGAGAAAAAUACUAUAUACCAACGAAGAAAAACAAAGGAUCCAUGGCAGUCAUACUUUUCCCUUCUUUUCCCUCCCUGGCUCUUCUCUAUAAAACUCUUUCUCCUAUUCCCAGUUACCACUCAAACUCUCCUAACUUCUGCUGGUUUUCUUAAUCUAGCUCCCUCCAUCUCAAACUCCCCAAUCUUUUCUUCCACAUCUAGUUAUCUCUUCUCAAGCUAUCCCCCACUUCCCCUUAACGGCCUGCUCUCUCUCUCUCCAAAAUCCUCAAAAUCGUCUUCAAAAUGCAUGCGACACCGUUGAUUCCCCACAGAAAAGGUUACUGCUCCCGACCCACUAUCUGAUACAUCUGCUGCCGAAACCUCCUAAAAUGUGGUAAAAAAAAAAUGCUCCCAAAAAACCUAGACCAAAAAUGAGGGUCUACAAUACUAUAAAAACCAAAAUGAAAAUUUUGUUGUAACUUUUUACCUUCUUUAUCCUCAUUUUGUUUAAAUAUUUACCAAAUUAACAUUGAUCUCACACUACACCAAACCAACAAGGAUGACAUAUAUAUAAUUUAAUUGAGAACCAAGUGCAACCGUUUUCUCUACUACCUGGAUAAGAGAUGUACCAUAUAACAAUGUGUGAAUCCCAUUUACCCAUUUUUCACUGCACAAGGGUCAUGCACAAUACUACGUGUACAAACCCAUGUCCAAUUGCACCACUGUACAACCUUCUUAUUUAAGUUUAUUGAAAUUUUAUUUAAGAGUAAUUUGGAGCAACAUCUGAACCACUCCAACCAUUACUAAGUGAUCAUUUCUUUUCUAUAUUCCAUUUCUCCAUAUAUGAGAUUUGAUUCAUUUGAUUCCUUAUUUGAAUGGUUUGGAUUGUAGAUUUUUUUUUAUAAAAAAAACCAAAGAUUUAAUUUGUUUUUCUUAUUGUUGUAGAAUUUUUUUCUUAUUUUUAUUGAAUAUAGUCCAUAUUCUAUAUGGUAGAUGUUAUGGAAAAAAAACAUAAAUAUUUUCUUGGCAAUACAAAAAAGAUUAGAAAUCAUAUUUUUUUUCCUUCCCUUCUUUAAAAAAAAUAAAAUGAAAACAUGAGUUUCAUAUUUGUGUUGUUCUAAUUCUUGAGAAAGUGUCUUUUCAUGAUUUAAGAUAAGGGAAAACGAGUGAAAGGAUAAAGAUGAAUUCUAUGAUGAUGUUAGUUCAAAUUUUUAUUCUAUAUUCAAUUUUUAUUAUGUAAUAUUAUUUUUUAAUUUUAAUUUCUUAUAAUUAUUUUUAAAAUUAAGAUGAGUUUUUUAAAAAUAUAUAUAUAAUGAAUUUUUUAUUUAAUGUUGCUUAGUAAUUUUUAUUAGUGAUACUUAAGAUUAUUUAAAAUUAGUUUAUUUAAUAAAAAAUUCAGUUUGGAAAAUGUUAAAAUUAUUUGAUAAUUUUAUUUAAUAAUAGUUUUUAAUUAAAAAAAUUAAAUAAAAUUAUUUUUAGUUCAAAUUACAUUUUUAUGAUAGAAUAUUAAUAUUAUUUACUAAACUUAAUUAGUAAUAUUUUGAAAAUAAUUAGGAGAUGAAUAUUUAAUAAAAUAAUAUUUUUUUUAUUGGUUUGAAUUUACACAUAACUUUAAAGCUAAAACACCCAACUAUAAAAUAGGUCUAAAUUAAUUAUCUUAUUAUUUAAUUAUAAAUUAUAUUAUUCCAUAUACUUCUAUGAUUUUUUUAAUUAUUUCCUUUUAAAAAAUUAUUUUUUAUAGUUUUUAUUAAAUAAAUUUUAAAAAUUAAUUUAGUAAUAACUUAAUUAAAUAACCGUUCACAUGCCUUGCACGUGGAGUAAACUUAGUAUUAUUAAAAGGUAUCAAUGUAAGGACUCCAUUAGUUAAGUGGCCUUUAGUUUUCCACUUUUAAAAGAAGAAAAUAAUGAUAAUAAAAUAUAAUAACCUUUAAGAUAAUAAAAAGUUUUUAUUGCCUGGAAGUUUAAAUUUUUUAAAGUAAUUUUGAUCGUAGGAUAAAUCUAUACCUUUUCUAAGAGUUUCUAUUUUUAUAUAAAAAUUCAUACUAUUUUCUAUUUUUAAAAAUAAAAAACAAAGUGUACCAAAACUGAUACUAAGACAUGUUUGACAACUAUUUUUGAAAACAGUUUCCUAUUUCCAAAACAAAAAAAAAUAAGAAAACAUAUUUGAUAAUAAAAAACUGUUUUUAUUUUCUAUUCUUAAAAACAAAAAAUGUGAUGUUUUGAAAUAACAUCUUUUAUUUGUUUUCUAUUAUUUUUAAAAGUUGUUUUAACAAAUAAUUAUACAAACAUAUAGAAUGAUUAAAAAUAAAAUACUAGACAUAAAAUUUAUUUUUAGAAUAUAUUUAAAAAUGUUGAAAACAAGUUAAAAACAUUUUAAGUUUUCAAACAAACUUCACUUUCAUUGUACAAAAUAUCAAAUAAUAGUUUUCAAAAAAUAUUUUUUAGAACUGUUUUCAGAAACCGUUACCAAAUAGGCCCUAACAUGAUGUUUAUUUUUUAACUUAAUAUUGAAUGCAAUUCACUUGCAGAUUUUAGUUAAUUGUUUUCAAACGUUUUAAUUUUUUUAAAAUUUAUUUACCAAUAUUUUUAACUUAAUAGAAGAACUAAAAUAUGAGUUUUUUCUUAUCCAAAUGUUGAUAGAUUCCAAGGAUAAAUAUAUCAUUUUUUGCAGAUAUAUAAAUAAUUGGACUUUAUGCAUAUAUCACCAUAUGUCAAGAAAUAUUGACGAAAAUUUUAAUAAAAAAUAUUAAUGAAACAAUGAUUGAUGAAAACUCAUAAAUAUUGAAGAAAACUUCAAUAAAUGAUAAUAGACCUAUUCAAGUUAUUUAUAUAUAUAUAUAUAUAUAUAUAUAUAUAUCUAUGUGUGUGUGAUAUAUUUUAACACAUUAUGUGAGAAUAUACAAAAUUUAAAAACACAUUAAUAUUAAAAUUGUAAUAUAUUUAGUUUGAAUAUAUAGAAAAAUAUAAAAAUAAAUAAUGGUAUAUGAAUGAGUAUUUUUUAUUUAAAAAUAUUGAUAAUUUUAUUUAUAAAUUUAUAUUUGUUUUCAAUUUAAUAAUUAAACAUGAUUUAUCUACUAUAUAUAAGGAACACAUCAUUCUAUGUCAUAUUUUAAAUCCAUGUGUAUAAUAUUUUUCUUUAAAAAAAAACAAAAAUUGGUGCUAACAUGGUGUUGAUUAAAUUGGUGAAAUAUCAUAAUAUUAUCGAUUUGGUGAAACAAUGAUGGGAUAGAGAGCAAUAAGAUUUCUUCACCAUUUAUCAUAUUACAAAUUUUCAAUAUGUGCUAUCUUGGCAAAAUAUCAACGACCACAAUUAUUUUCAACCUUGGUUGAUUUUCACUUCUAACACCUGACCCUCCCACCCCACUCUCACAGUGAAGCCAACACUCACUAUCUUAGGUCGUUGCUAACAUUGUGUAUUGUAUGUUGGGUCACUCAAGGUAGAUUUUUUCUUCAUUUCCUCUCUUUAUAUAGGUUUUCUUUAGGUAAAAAUUUCUACCUUCUUCAGUCUUUCUCUGUCAAACUUGUGAGCUUGUUUCUUUAAUUUUUUUUUUCAUAAUUUACGAAUUACUUGAUUGUUUGAUUGUUGUGAUUUUCAUGGCUUGUUUGGUUAUUAGAUUUUUAUGGUUUGUUUGAUUACUAAAAUUUAAAAGAAAAGAAUAAAAAUUUCGGUUUUUGUUGUUUGUACUUUUGCACUUAAACUAUAUUAAAAUGUUUAUGAGAAUGAGUGUAGAGGUUGGAACUUAGAAGCUACUUGAGAUAGUUAUGGGCUUCCUCUAUAAUGGUUUUUUCAAUUGUUGGGGUAUUUCAAUACUUUUGACUGAGAUUGUUUAGUUCUUCACAACAAUGCUAGUAUAGCAUCAAUUUGGUUCAAGUAGGAUGAUUUGAGUUUCUUAUAUUGAAAAUUCCCAAUUUUUUAAGUACCACUAGUUUGAGCACAUAUUUGAGCUCCAAUUAAUAGGUACCAUGAUAUCUCAUGGGUUUGAAAUUGUGUCCCUUAAGUAAUCUUAAGGACUUAUGAUUAUAAAAUUUGUGAUAUUACAGUAAUCUUUUUAUGGAAUUUGACAUAUACUCUUAGUAAGUUAGAGUAUGUUAAUUAGUUGAUCACCAAAUAAGAGAAUCUAAUAUUAAAGAAUUGUAGAGGUAAUCUUGAGAGGAUGAUAGCAUCUACCUCGUUAGAUUAUUGACACCAAUUCAUAGAGAGUUUUUAUAUAGUGAAUAGUAGGUUACAAACCGGAGGAAUUGAUUAAAUUGGAAAUCAAUUAUUAUCAUAAUGUAAUGAGACAAGAUAUUGAAGUACAAUUGACUCUCUUUAGUGAAGUGUUAAGUCAAUUUCAUAAUAGAAUUUUGAGGGAAGCAAUAUUUUCCAAUGGGUCCCAUGGUCUCUGCUCAAGUUCACAUUCCAUGAUGACACAUCAUGUGAGGGAUAGAUGAGUUUUCUUAUUCAUAAGUGUACAUAAGAGCAUUUUGAUAAAAAUAAAAUAAAAUACAACACAAACUGACAUAGGAACUUAUGAAUGGUCUUUCUAAAUUGCAUUAAUUAAUUAAUUGGAACCCAAUAAGACUAAUUAAUUAAUUAAUUAGGACCUAGUGAGAUAGAUUAAGUCACCUAAGUCUUGGGCUUAAGUCACUUAAGCCUACAAGUAAGCCUAUAUAAACUCUUUUAAGGUUUAGGGUUUGUGUCUUUAAGCUAUUCUAUCUUCCAAAAAGAGGGAGUCCUAAUCUCUUCCCUAAAAAGAGGAGUCCACCUUGCUCUAGUGCCUAGUUUUGAGAUAUCCAUUAAGUGGAAGAUCAUGAGGUUUCAAGAUCUCUAUUACAAAAGAAUUUGGGUUUGAGAACAUUCAAACCCUAAUUUUGGUUUCUAAUACAUCCUAUGAGACCAAAGUUUAAUUUUUUUUUUUUUAUCUCUUUUGUUAUGCCUAGUGUCUUAAAUUCAUAUACCUUAAAGCCUCAAACAAUUAUUAGAUCACCCAAUAGAAAUAAUCACCAAUUCAGAAUCACGUCCUAUCAGAGGAAGAAACUCAACUUAUGAUUUUGAACUCAUGCCAAAUUCGAAAUGGAGUGCUACCAAUUUGGGAUUUCACCACCAAUUUGGUAUUUCACCACCUUUAUCUCGAGAGUUGCAUAUUUGACACUCCAUUAACCUUCAGUGAUCCUCGUACGAUAGGAGAUCAAGAUUUUAUUAUUAUUUUUAGUUACUUCUAGGUAAUUAUUUGGGAAAUAAGUGGUCAAUAGGAGUGUGCCACAUGUUAGUUUUUACUUUUUCUAUAUAUAUAUAAGCAAAUUCUAUGUUUUGAGGGACAUUUAAAGAAUUCUUUGAAGAAUUUUUAGAAAGAGGAAGACACAUCAAUUUUUCUUAAUUUUUUUUCUUGCUUUUUUAUAUUAUUGAAUAAAACAUUGUUUUUAAUUUCAUUUGAAAUUAAGAAUGGUUUUUUCUUAUUCUUUUAUAGAUUGUGUAUGUAAAGUAAAAACACACCCAUGAGAGGCUAAAAAGUCAUCUUGUGAUGUGAAACAUAAAAGGCUAGGGUUAGAUCCAGUGGGAAAUAAUAGGUAAAAACAAAUUAAUUAAUAAUGGAUUGAAUGAAAGGUUAGGACACUAAUAUUGAGAUUAAAAUUCCUUAUAAGGUUAGUUUGACCUAGUAGAUGGUACAAUCAUACAUUCCUUGAUAUUAGGGAUUCUUGAUAAUUCUUUAUCCAUUGUUAUCUAAUGUUGUCAUUGUUAUCUACCUUAAAGAAAAUCUGCAUAGAGAAGUACAAGCCCAAAAAUCCUAGACCUAAGCUUAGAUUUCAUAUCCAUUCAUCUAUUAGGUAAUUUAAAAUAAAAUAAAAUAUGAAAAGUUAGGAUAUAGAUAAACAUCGAGGUAUGGAACUUAAGUUGGUCUCAUUAGAUCAUGCAUUUUGAUUACUUUAAGAUUAAUUAAAAUAUACACCUUUCUUUCACCUAAAGGUCUAUACCUAAAGUUGAAUUGUGGAACCUCCCAAAUUUUGAUCAUUUGAAUAAAAAAUCAAUAAUAUUUUUGCAAUUAAAUUUAGUUCUUUAAAGAAUCUCAAAUCCACUCAACCUAAUUUUACAUAUUUUUCAGUUUAAAGAAUAAAUAGCAAUAAUUUUGACCUAGUUUGACAUCCAUGGGUCAACCCUUGAGGAUGAUAACUAGAGUACUACAAAAGUUAUAGUAACUCUAUCUUUUUUUUUUUUUUUUUUAAGCUAAAGUUACUACAUAAUUUAGACUUACUAUUUAGGAUAAUAAAGAUUAACAAUCAUUUAGGUCACUAUUGAUUAAGUCAAGUGGUAAUAGACAAUCUCAAGACAAACACCAUGAUAUCUCAUGAGAUUGAGACAAUGUUUACCCUUAAGUGAUCUUAAGGACUUGUGAUUGUAUAAUCUAUAACCAUAGUAGUUUCUUAAGUAGAAUUUUACAUAUGCCCUUUAUGGACUAGGGUAUGUUGGUUGACCACAAAAUAGAAAGACUUGAGAAUCAAGGAUUGUAAAUAUAAUAUUGAGAUGUUGAUAAUAUCUCAUUAGAUUAUAAAUAUCAGUUCAUGAGGAGUCUAAAUGUAGUAAAUAGUAGGUCACAAACCCGAAAAAAUAAUUAAAUUAUAUUUAACUAGUUUAUAUAUUAAUAUAAUUUCAUAGAAUAUUGAAAUGCAGUUGACUAUCUUUAGUGGAAUAUUGGGUCAAUUUUAGAAUUGAAUCCUAAAUGAACCAUUAUUUUCCUAUGAGUCCUAGUGAUCCAUACUCAAGUUCAUAUUCUUUGUUGGCACAAAGUUUUUAGGUUUUAUGGAGAAUUAAUCAUUUAUAUAAGAGUGUUUGGGUAAAAGCGUAAAAUUGCAUAUGAUUUUAUGAUUAAUUAUUAUUUUUUUGGAUCAGGUUAAUUUAUUAAAUGGAAUCCAGUGGGCUUAAUUAAUUAAUUAAGAUUAAAUGAACUAGAUUAAUUGCCCAAACCCAAAUUAGGCCAAAGUCACUUAAGCCCACAAGAAAGCUUAUAUAAACUCUUGUAGGUUAAUUUUAAGGUUGACCAAUCCAAAAGUCAAAACUAAACUAAGCCCAAAAACAAUGAAAUAGGGAAAUCAAACUAGGUAAUUAUCAAAUUAAAGUGGCUAAGGCGUGAUGUAGCAAUGCCCUUAAAGUAGAUCCAUUAUUCUCAAAGAUCAAUCUCGGUACAACAUGAAACUAAUGUUCUACUUCUAGGAUUUAAUAACCAAAAGCUUUACCUAAGGUGUACUUUGAGAUGAGGAAUAGUAUAACUCAAAUGGUAAGGAAAAGAAUUGAGAUUUUGAAGGGUUUGUCGAAAAGAUGUAAGCAUAAAAUGUCGGUUGUAAGAAACUAUAGCAAUAGAUUGGAAUCGUCAAAAAUAGAGAAGCAAAGUCACCAUAAACAAAGAAUUAGAGAGAUGUGGAAGAGAUAGAAGUAGAUUGGGAGGUAGAUAUGUUAAUGUGAGUUUGAGAAUUCAGCACCACUAAACUUAAACUUCAAAAAAAUUGGCUAGAAAGUGUGCGUAGGCAGGGGGUCCUGAUUGCGUACCUAGCUGGUGUACCUUGAGUUUGGCCCUUAGACGGGAGUAAUCAACAAAAUUUAUAACCUAUAUCACCAUGUGCUAGGAUAGCCUUAGCUAAUAUAGCAUAGUGGUUCUAGGAUCGUUCACUGGGAAGGGUUUUCAACUUACUAUUGACAUUAAUUCAAAGAUGAAUUGGUGUUUUUUCAUUUCAAGGUUAGCUUUAAAAGAAAACAUAAACUUUUGUUGGAAAAUGAUUGAUUUUAAGCUAACCAAAACUAAUAGUAACUAAAAUUACUUAUAAAGAAAAGCGUUUCUUGGAGUUUUAGGUUCACUGGGGUCAGGCUCCUCAUGCAAAAACAGAGUUCCAAUCACUUGAAUCUUUUCCUCGCAUUAGAGAAUUAACAUAUAGUUAAUUCUCUAACCGGUAUGGUACAAAUGCUUUCCCUUUAUGGAUUUCAACACUAACUCCCUCUCACUGAUUCACCUUGCAAUGGCUCGUGCCUCUCACCUAGCAUUUGCCAUUCAAGGUGAUUCUUAACCUUUGAUUUCCCUUCUCAAGCUCGCAAGAGAUAACUAAUGGAUGUCUCCUUAAAGUCUAAAAGCUUACCAAGUGUUGGAAAUUCUAGAAAAUCUUACCUUCAAAUCACCUCCCAAAGGCUCGCAAGAGAUAAACUAGUGCAUCUCAAUGAACGGAGAUCACUUGCCUUAUCAAGAGUUGACCUAGGUGAUUUAAAGGCGUUUUAAGUUAACUAAAAACAUAGAAACCAUUAACGGGUCACACUUUCUUUUCAUUAACAACUGAAACAACAAAACUACCAAUUCUUACACUCGGCACCUUACCCAACUACCUUAGCUCCAAGAAACAAAAAAGUCUAGCCACUCAUUUUCUGAGGAAACAUCCUCAGAGCUUAUUUGGCUAGUAAGAAAAAUACAAUCAAAACAAGUAGGUAAGGCAGAGCAAAGUUCUAUAUUUUACUUCCUUCAAAACUAUACAAAAAGUGUCUAUGAGAACAAGCUCUUGAGAUAUCUCUGUGUUGAAAAUUACAAACAAUAUAUAUGAGAUUAUUCACCCUUUGUUCUUACUUAAUAACUAAGGAAUCCUAUGAUUGGUGGAUUACAAGGAGAAAAUGGGGAUUUAAACAUCAAAUAUCUGAAGAAAAAAUCUAAAAGUGUUGGUCGCAAAUAUCUGGAAGCACUCAAGAGGAUUUCGCGGGCAUGCAAGAUAGGCUGCGAAAUUUCACAAGCUGAAGGUCUCCAUUUCGCAGCCAAAGGCUGAUUUCGCAGCCAAAGGCUGAUUUCGCAGCCAUCCUCUUGUGAUUUCGCAGCCUACGAAAUUGGCCUUCAGCUUGGUGUGAUUGGCUUCCAAUGGCUAUAACUUCUUCAUUUCAAGUCCAAUUCGUGCACCGUUUAAAGUGUUGGAUUUCUGACUUCCCGAGCUUCGAAACGACAUAUAGUAUGCAUGAAAUGGGCUCCAGGAAGUGCUCCAAAAGUUGUUGUCCUCUUGAAUUCUUCAUGUUAGAUUUCUCUCUUUGCUUUCCCUCCUUGCAUUCAUGAUUUGCUUAUGGCAAAGGACUAUAAAGCUACAAAGCUUAGGUUCUUCAUGUUAAUGAGCUUCCAAUUACUUUGCCAUGGAUUCCAUAGAACUCUCCUCAAUCUUGGAUUGCUUUGGUGAUCAAAAUACUAUCAAAAACACCAAAACUUACACAAUUUGAUUAGAAACGAUUGCAAAGGUACUUAAUAUGCUAAUUGAGUUAAAAGGUAAUAACUAUUACUCAAAAGUGUUUAAAAGAGUUAAUUACAAGCUACUAAAUAACACUUUUUGAGUAGUAAUUAGGUCCCCUACACGUGAUGCACAUUAAGGUUUCCCUAAUCAAGUUGCUUGAAGGCUAAAAUCCCAUUGGAUGGGCUUGGCUUCAGGGGAACAUGAGGCUCCUAGUUCCCUCUCCACAAACUUAAGACGCUAUGGAAGUGAGAUAAUAUCAUUUGCAAAAAGUUUUAAUCCCUUUCCAAUGUAGUAUUGGCAACUCUAUGUGUUUGUACUCCAACACACGCACAUGCACUUUCACAACAACCUCUUUAUUCUAGGUCAUCCUAAUUAGCAUAUAGGUCUCUUUUCCUUUCUACAAUGAAGCAAACUAAGUGAGACACUUUCUCAUCCAAUAUAACAUUCUUUGAUCGAUCGAGGCAUAAAAGCUUGGUGCAUUUGACUGACAAUCAUGCUUGAUAUUUCUAUUUUUAAUUAGCACAUAUACCAUAACAUCAAAUUUAAACUAUAUUGAAACCUACAUAACAAAAACCUUACCUUAGGACUUGUUACAUUUCAUAUAUUGAAAACCAUAUUAAACAUGUUAUUUAUAGCUUAUUUAUAUAGGUACCCUUGUCUAUCUUCCAUUAUGUGCAAGAAAUUAUUGUUGAGAGGAACUUACUAUGGUCUUGAUGGAAAGCUCGAUUUUAAAAAUAGAAUUGCAUCUUAGGCCUUCUGGUCUCCUAAAUUGAGAUCAUCAAAGUAACUUAUCCCCUUAGCCUUUUAUUAAUUUGGGAACCUUUGUAUCAUUUCCAAAUGAUAUGUUGAUCAUUUCCCCUAGGACUGAAUAAAUAUAAGUUGUAAUUUCUCAUGAUGAGAGUAUGGAUCUACAUAGACAUAGGAAUGAAAGCCACCAAUCACUACAAGAAAAGUGAGACACGAUCACAUGGUUUAGGAGGGGUCAGUAAAAUCCACAACCAAAGAUUAUAUAUAACCUCAUAGCUAUUUGAGGAGUUGCUGAAACGAUGUUCUGCCAAAGCUAUAGUUGCAGGAUUAAUUGGAUGCAACUAUAAAAUCUCCUAUUGCUAUGGUAUAAAAUUAGUUGCUAUCAUAUAUGGCCCAAUGGGUGAGGCUUGACCGCUACCAUAAAAUUAACCAAUAUAUAAACUGCCCAACAUUUCUCCCAUUCACCCACGCCAAACCCAUUGUGACCCAUUUCUUUUUGCAUCAUUGUUUGUGCCAACCUAUUAAGAACUCUAUUUUUUCUUCUCAUUGAUCGUGCUUCGUAUUUUUCUUUGAUUCACUCAUUGUUGGUAUUUUUCUCAUUGAUCAUUGUCGCCAAAGCCAUGAGUUUUUCUAUUUUCUAUUAUUUCUCCUCAAAUUAUGUGAUUUUCUAGCUUGCUAGAUUUUUUUCUUUUAAUUUUUGUUUCUAUUAUUUUUCCUCAUAUUUUGUGAUUUUCUAUCUUUCUAGAUUUUUUUUUUCUUUUGUUUCUUUUGAUUUUUGAAGAUAAAAGAAAGGGAAGUUCAUGUUAUUCUAUUGUAAGAUGUUUCUUUCUCUUUAGGUUUCUCUUUCACUAUCAUUUAUUUUAAAUCACUGUUAAUUGUAAAUUUUGAGUAUGAGCCGACCUUCAAACUGCUUUGUUUAUCAAAAUAUAAUUUAGGUGAGUAGAUGAAAACUAUAGGUUAGGUUAACUAUAGGUGAUUAAUCAGUUCAAUUAUUAGAUGAUACUCCACUCUUCUGAGUUCAAUAUUGCAUUUUAAGUCAUUAAUGUUGUUGUCAAUGAAAUGGUAAACUAUAGAUGAUGGCUGCAUUUUCAUUCCAUCUUCAAUUUUAAUUAAAAUAAUUUUGUUUUUUGUUUUUUGUUUUUAUGGAUGAUACAUAUUUUUUGGUGGAUGAAGGGUGUUAUAGCUAUUUUCUUAAAAUAAAUAUUAGAAUUGUUUAAGAAAUAUAGGCUUGCUUUGUAGACUAAACCAAAAACUACAAAUAUGGUUAAAUAACUUUCUUUUUCAAUACUCUUGAAAAGGUCAUACCAACUUUUGGGACAAAAAUGUGAGAGGUGAUUAAUGUAGAAGGAAAUCGAGGCUCUAUUUGGCAACUGUUUUCAAAUGUAGUUCUAAAAGAUAGUUUUUUAUAACAGUUUUUAAAAAUUGUUCUUUGGUAUUUUGUAAAAGAAAAGUCUGUUUGGGAACUUGAAAUGUUUUUAACCUGUUUUUAAUAUUUUUAAAUAUAUUUUAAAAAUAAUUUUUAUAUUCAGUGUUUUAUUAUUAAUCAUUUUACAUGUUUAUAUAUAUAUAUAUAUAUAUAUAUAUAUAUAUAUAUUCUAAAAUAAUCAUUAAAAAAAUAAGUGAAAACAAUAUAAAAUAUCUAAAAGAUAUUUUAUGAAAAUAAAAAUUAGUUUUUAGGAAUCAAACGUGUUAUUUUGUUUUUUGGUUCUAAAUAACAUAAAACUAUUCUAAAAAACAAUUAACAAGCAUUAGAUUUCAUAAAAUUUUGGAAAUAAUGAAAAACAUAGCAAAACUAUAUAGUAGUUCCUUAAGCUAUAUAGGUUGAAAACCUAGAUUUAUUCCUUAAUGUCACAAGAUGCUUCAAAUGACCCUCCCCAUGGGCUUAUAUAAGAGGUGGGAAUCUUCUAGAGACAUCUACACUUAGCUACAAAGUGGGAGAGUAUGAAAACUUCUAGAGAGGGCUAUAGAUGUCCACACAUCUCUACACUUGGCUAAGAGAGCAUUGGAAUAGUGUGGGGUGUUCUAGAAUCUUCUAAAGUCAUCUUGUACAUACCCUUGUACAUAGACUAGUGUAAGAGCUUCUAGAUUAUUCUUGAUUCGCAAGGAACUCUUCAAGGUUCUAGAGACUUCCUAUGGUGCCUAUAAAUAGGUUAAAGCCCCAUUUGACCAAGGCACCACCUAAGAACCUAAUCAACCAAGCGAGUUCCAAAACGCUUGUAACGCUUUCUUCGAGCAAUAAAGCUUCCAGUCUUUAAGUGUUGCCUAUUACGCCUUCUAAAGAUUCUAAGUCGGGUGCAUCUUAACCUAGCGAGGUAAUCAUCAAGAGUAAGGCUAACUUAGCAAGAUCAAGUGUCUUGAUGUGUCUAAGUGCCGCACAAGCUUAGGAAAAGACUAAGUCUAUGAUAGUUGGUAUCAGAGCACAACUACGAAGCAGGCAUAGUAAAGGAAGCAUGUUAGGCUCCAACGUGGAUGAGACUAGUGAGCAAACCUGUGUGAGGGAGACCGAACCUGCUACAUGGGGCAAUGGUAGGAAGGAUAAAUCUCAUGAUGCCAUUGUCAACAUGGAGGCAAGGUUAGCUAAGGUGGAGCUAGCCAUGGCGGACACUUGAGAAAGGUUGGACUUGAUCGAGUAAGGCAUGGAAAAGGGUAUGAAUGAUUUUAGGGAACAGUUCCAAGACCUUCAUAAGGGGAUGCUAGUCUCACAGGUUCAGCCAAUGUCACACGAAGAGUUCAUGUCCUUUUAAGAAAAGGUCUUGAGCAUAUUUGUUAGCAUGAAGUCAAGGAUGGAGGCCUUGGGCACUCGAAUGGAGUCCCGAGACCAAGAGGUUAGGCAGGAGUUGGCCAUCUACCUUACUAACACAACUACUUUAUGGUGGCAUUGGAGGUUUGCUGAUAUGGAGAAAGACAUUUAUACCAAUAGAGACAUGAGAGGACUUCAAGAGGGAGAUUAAGAGGCAGUUCUACCCUAAGGACAUGGCUUACUUGGUUAGGAAAAACAUGAGGCAUCUCAAGCACACAGGUUUGAUACGCGACUAUGUCAAGGAAUUUUGUUCGCUCAUGCUUGAGAUUCCUAACAUGACUGAGGAGGAGUUGCUAUUUAACUUCACGGAUAACCUGUAAGAGUGGGCUGAGUAGGAAUUAAGGCGUCGAGGCGUUCAAGACUUAACCAUUUCUAUGGCAGUAGUAGAGUCUUUAACGGAUUACAAGAGGGGAGACUCCUCCAAGGUUGAGUCUUUGGAGGAUAACCACACUACGGUUGGGGAGGCGAGGUUUCAAAUGACCACAAUGCUCCUAGAAUGGGAUCAAGCAAGAUGCCUAACGUUUGGGAAUGAAGGAGUUUACGCCUAAAAUCAAAUGCUUCCUGUGUGAUGGUCCACAUUGGGCACAAGAUUGUCCAAAGAGGAAGACGCUUAGUGCCAUGAUUGAGGAGAGGGAACAGGAAGACAAAGCACAUAUGAGCUUGAUGCAGUCGCUAGGUGCCCUCCAAGUCAACCCAAAGCCUAAUACGCCUAAGACCUCCUUACUAUUAGGGGUGCAAGUAAAGAAGGCAAAAGGGGAGCAAACUAAGGUAGCCUGUACACUCAUGGACAAGGUCACUAAGGAAAAGGUAAACUCGAUGGGCAAGAGGAAGCAACACUCCAAACAUCGAAAGUGCAGGUGUCUGCAACCAUCCGAGGCCUCACGGGAGAAGGAGGUGAAGAAUAUCCUGGCUGAACGAGUCACGAGGAGACAAGGGGUCCCUCAUGUGAUAGAGUAUCUAGUUUGAUGGAAAGGACUACCUAAGAGGCAAGUAAGCUAGGAACAUGCAAAUGGUUUGAGAAGGUUUUGGAAACACAUCGAGAGGUUUCAAGAAGAGGCAACGACAGGGAAGUUGACGACAUAGGUGGGGGAGAGUGUCACAAGAUGCUUCAAAUGACCCUCCCUCCCAAUGGGCUUAUAUAGGAUGUGGGAAGCUUCUAGAGACCCCUGGAGACAUCUACACUUAGCUACAAAGUGGAAGAGUAUGAAAGCUUCUAGAGAGGGCCAGAGAUGUCCACACAUCUCUACACUUGGUUAAGAGAGCAUUGGAAUAGUGUGGGGUGUUCUAGAAUCUUCCAAAGUCAUUUUAUAUAUACCCUUGUACAUAGACUAGUGUAAGAGCUUCUAGAUUAUUCUUGAUUUGUAAGGAACCCUUCAAGGUUUUAGAGACUUCCUAAGGUGUCUAUAAAUAGGUUAAGGCCUCAUUUGGCCAAGGCACCACCCAAGAAUCUAACCAACCAAGCAAGUGAGUUCCAAAGCAUUUGUAAAGCUUCCUUUUAGCAAUAAAGCUUCCAUUCUUUUAAGUGUUGUCUAUUGCGCCCUCUAAAGCUUUUAAGUCGGGUGCAUCUUAACCUAACAAGUUAAGCAUCAGGAGUAAGACUGACUUAGCAAGAUCAAGUGUCUUGACUUGUCUAAGUGCCGCACAAGCUUAGGAAAAGACUAAGUCCAUGACGCCCUCUAAAGCUUUUAAGUUGGGUGCAUAUUAGCAUAACAAGCUAAGCAUCGAGAGUAAGACUGACUUAGCAAGAUCAAGUGUCUUGACUUGUCUAAGUGCUGCACAAGCUUAAGAAAAGACUAAGUCCAUGACAUUAAGCUAGUUGUUUUCAGCAUUGUCUUUCUUCCUCUUGCACUUCCCAAGAUUUGAACAGGUGAAGAAAGCAGAAGCUUUUCUAAGAAAAUAUAGAUGGUACCUGCUGCUUGGCAGUGGCAUAUAGGCAGAAAACAUUAAACCAAGCAAAUCAAAGAAGUUUCUUAAUUUUCAAUGACCCAUAUAGAAGGAAAGAAUCUUAUGCAAUAAUAAAGCUAUGUGAAGUGCCUUAAAUCCCUAUGCUUCUGCAGGGAACCCUAUUCCCAUGUCCAAAAGGAAGAAGACAGAGAAACUUGGAUUCCUAGUUAGGUGAAGGAAAGGACCAUAGGUCCUGCAGAUGAAGUCACACUUCGUCGCGGUCUGUUUUAUCCACACCUAAAUCUUAUAGUCACAGUUUUUUCACUUGUAGCUGUGGGAUUUGGCCCCGGCUAUAAACCUAUCUUUUUAUGGUGAUGAAUAUUGAUUGGAGAUCAUGUAAAUACGCAACAUUGCAUUUUGCCCCUGUACACCUUUGUGGAUGACAUUUAGGUUGAUCAAUUAUGAGCUUUCGGAGGAGAUAAGCACGAGAAGUAAGGUUUAGUCCCAUUCUUCAUGCCUUUCUCUUUACCAGGCUUGCAAUUCUAGUUCCUCCUCAGCUCCUGCUACUGCAGAUCUCUAUAUGCCCAACUAAAUACAUAUUUGCUCAAAAAAUCUCGUCAAUGAGCUUCUUAUAUAUACAAAUAGCUAGAAGACUACUGCCACUAUUAAUUUGGCCAGAAUUCAUGUGUCUCCUCUUAUCAUGGAGCUUCAGAUUCAUUAUCUUAUAUGUUAUAUAUUCAUUUUUCCAAAUUCAUUUUUACACAUGAUCACUCCUCUCUAAAGUCAGAAUGAUUUUUUUUUUUCUUUAAGAAUAUUUCACUCCUCUCCACUUGAAAUCCUUAAAAAGAGGAGCAAAUUGCAACUAAAAGUGGUAUUCUAAAAUACCUCACAAUACACUUGGUGAAAAGCCAUAUUUAUAAUAAGUCAUUAAGCCAUUAAGUCAAAUAUAAAGAUAAAAAAAGCUUAAGCAUUGAGCCUAACUUGCAUCUUGAGGACGCACUGCCCCCCCUGAGACAAUUUUUUUUUAUUUUGCCCCCCCUGCCCUGCAUUUUUUACUCCGCCGGUGUGUCCACUGCCAUGACCCCCGUGACCUUGGUGGCUGCAACCGCCACCACCGGCGCCGCCAUGAGCUCCUCCACCAAGUCCAUGAUGUCCCUUACUAUGACAGAUGCCGUGUCCAUGAUGUCGUUUGCCGUCGUGUGCUUGAUGGCCGUGAUGUCCUCCUCCAUGCUGGCCGUGAUGUCCUCUGUGUCCGUGAUGUGCUCCACCUCCAUGGCAGCCAAGAGCUUGUGGAGGAGGAGGACGGUGAGGACCUGGAUGAGGUAUCAUUGUGAGGACGCUCUUGUCUCUUCGAAUAUAUGUUUGGGACGAUUGUACUAUUGCAUGGUGGUGGUGGUGUCCCCCACUGUGACAACCCCGACCACCAUGUGGAUGGCGUCCUCCUCCGCGGCCUCCUCCUCCUCCUCCUCCAUGACUACGGUGUCCAUGAGAGCCAUGAACACAUGGAGAUGGAUCAUGAUAAUGCAUUUUUUAGACAAAACCUGAGUUGGGAAGCUAGGAUGGUGUGGUAGGCGUGACCCAUUGCUUCUUUGCGUAGUUUUAUAUACACACUGCGCUACACAGAGUUGAAGACGGUAGCCAUUGCACGCGCCACACCACGCGUUUACCAUUCGGAGUUUCACUCCGGGCCACCAUCAAAGUCCGCUUAGCUUGCCUCCUAAGUUAUCUUACUUUUUCGAAGCACAUUACACUUGUCCUUGUCUUUUUUCCCAGAAAGUCAAAUAUUCUUAUCCCAUCACUUCGUAAUGAUUUUCUUUUUCUUCCUUUUUUUUUUUCUUUUGUUAUUUUUACUUCUUCUUACAUUUUACUUAUUGCUUAAAAAAUACAAUAAAAGUGGCUUAAGGCUUCUUUCUCACCUUUCUUUUCUAAAAAUAAAAAUAAAAACAAAAAACACCCUUAAAAACAAAAACAAAAGGCUUAAAUUUAAAAUAUUUUAAAAAAUAAUUUUUAAAUAUUUCUUUUAGAAUUUACAAUAUUCUUAACUUGAUUCUUAUAUUUGAAAAUAUUUUUUUUUAAAUAAUUUUGUUUUUUAUAGAUAUUUUUCAUAUUUAAACAAUUAUUUUUUAAAACAAACCCCUUAAAAUAAUUAAAAAUAAUAAUUUUUUUAAAUAACUCAUUUUCAAAACAAGUUUUCAAAAAAUUAAAAGUAAUUUUUGAAUAUACUCUUAAUAUUUAGAUGUCGUUUUAAUAGAUACAUAUUGAGAAAUAAUGGUUUUAAAAAUGCUUAAAAAAAUUAAGUCCUACAAUCUUAAAAUUUUUAAAAGUAUUUUAUAAAGAUGUAAAAUAAAUUUUAUAUUUUUAUAUACAAGUUUUUUUUUAUUUUAAAAAUAAAUAGCAAAAAGCUUAUUUAAGAAAACACUUAAUUUAAAUAAAUAAAUUUUAGUUAUUUUUAAAACUAUUUUUUCUAUUUUAUAUUUUUAUAUACAAGUUUUUUUUAUUUUAAAAAUAAAUAACAAAAAGCUUAUUUAAGCAAACACUUAAUUUAAAUAAAUAAAUUUUAGUUAUUUAAAACUAUUUUUUCUAUUUUAUAUUUAUAUAUAUUUUUUAUUUUAAAAAUAAAUAACAAAAAGCUUAUUUAAGCAAACACUUAAUUUAAAUAAAUAAAUUUUAGUUAUUUCUAAAACCAUUUUUUCUGUUUUAAUUUGAUAAGAAAAACCAUAAUUCAAUUUAUAUGGUAUUAAUUAAAUUUAUUUAAAUUUUUAUUAAAAAUAAAAAAUUGAUAACUAUAAAUAAUUUAAAAAAUAAACGGACCAUGAAUAUUAAUACUAUAAUAAAAUUAUAAAUUAUAUUUUUUAUUAAAAUGAUCAUUUUAGUAUAUAUUGUAAAAUAUAAAUAUCAACAUCUUUUUGUUAUUAAAAAAAUGAAUAAUAGCAAUUUCAUUAUAAUGUUUUAUGAAAUAAUUUAAAAAUAAGUAAAAAUAAUAAUAAUAAAUAAAUAUGGUAAAUUUUUAGUUAUAUAUGCUUAAAUAGAUAGAGAAUAGUUUGGAUUAGUUUUAAUUUCAAAUUAUUUUUAAAAUAAAUUUGUUGGAGAAUUUAAAGUAUGGGGGCAUGAGAAGGUGUACAAUUCAGUGGAACUUUACAAGAUUCCUCCUGGUACAUGAUUUGACGUUAACACUGUUAGCCUUUUAACGCACGCGCCUCACCACGCGUCUUCCACUCGCUCCGACGCAUCAUUAAAGUCAUAAUUGCUUGCCCCACAAUACCUUGCCUCUUAAGUAAUUCACGUCAUGUUGACCUUUUUCAAAGUGGGGCCCACUUACCCCUUGUGGUGUUUUUUUCCCCGGAAACUUCCUUUUUACACUGUACCUUUUGCUCCAAAACAAUAGAAGCAGUUUAGGAUUUUUUUGAAAAUAUUUUUUCAAAACAAUUUUAAAGUUAGGGAUGAGGUUAGAAUUUUUUAUUAUAUAUAUAAAAAAUUAAAAUUAAACUAUUAUAUAUAUAAUAAAAUAAAUAAUAAUUAAACUUUUUUAUUAUUAUUUUUCUCCUUUUUAAUACAUCUAAAAUGAGAAAAUUCUUAUAAGAAUAAUUUAUAAAAUUAUAAUAUUUAUUUAUUUAUAAACUACAUUUUUUUUAAAUUAAAAACAAAAUUGAAAACUAAAUAAAGUGGUAUAAAAAAUUUCUCUACUCACCAUAUCUAUUUAAGGCUUCUAUUUUUUUUUUUUUUUAUGAGAAUAAAAAUUGAUUUAAAUAAUCAAGACAAGGUUAAGAUAUGGGAUUGAUAAACCUGAACCCACCUUACUACCAUCCCUAGUUUGAAAUUUUAUUUUUCAAAACCUAAGCUUCAAUCAAAAUUUAUACUACCCUACCACACACCUAGAUUACAUAUAAAAAGAGAUCAAAUUUGAUUUAUUUUAGUUUUUUUCAUUUUCCAUUUUUAAACAUAUAAAGUAAAUAUUCAAAUCUAUUUUUUUUAUUUAUAAAAAUAUACAUAUAAUAUUUUAUUAAAAACUCAAUUUGGUUUUUAUAAAUUAUAUUUUUAGUAUCGUUGAAAAUUUUAAAAAAUGCAAUUCAGAAUUUUUAACCCAAUCAUGUAUGAGUUGUUCACUUUCCUACCUCACCCUACUUCAUUUUGUAUUCUGGAAAGUGAUGAGAAUAUAUUCGAAAAAUAGGGUAGGUCAAGAUGGGAUGACCCACUUUGUUGACUUCCAUAAUAAUACAUGUUCAUAUGUUUAAAACUUUAAUCAAAUUAGAUUUUAAUGUAUUAUGCAAGUGCUAUUAAUUCACGGGUUUUUUUUUUUACUUUUGCAGCAAUUUUUUAAAAUAAUUAUUAAAAAAUGAUAGUUGGGAAAAUAUUGAUAGAUCUAUGACAAUUUUGACCACGUGGAAUGUGUCUUUUGAAGAGACAUUUUCCACAAUUUUCAAAAUCAUGAUACAUAUUUAAAAGAAUUGAAUUUAAGUUAAAUGUGUCUCUUAAAGAGAUACCUUCUACAAUUCCAGAAAAUUGGAUUUAUAUUAAAAGUGUCUUUUGAAAAUACACUUUUCAUGUAGCAAAAAUCCAAUAUGCAUUAAAGGUGUCUCUUAAAAAGACACCUUUCACAAUUUGACAAAUUUGAAUGUCUCAUAAAUUUGAUUUUAAAGUUAAAGAUGUCUUUUGAAGAGACACCUUUUAUAAUUCCUAAAAAUUUUAAUUUAUACAAAAUGUAGACACUUUCCACAAUUCCACAAUUUCACAAAUUCUAAUAUAUAUUAAAGGUAUCUCUUGAGGAGACACCUUCUACAAUUCCAAAAAAUUGGAUUUAUACUGAAAGACCACCAUCAAUAUGAACCCAAUUUUUUUAAAAUUAUGGAAGGUGUCUCAUCAAGAGACACCUUCAGUAUAAACCCAAUUUUUUUAAAAUUAUGGAAGGUGUCUCUUCAAGAGACACCUUUUAGUAUAAUUCCAUUUUUUGGAAAUUGUGAAAGGUGUUUCUUGACAACCUCUACAAUUUUAAAAAAUUUGGGCUUAUAUUGAAAGUGUCUCUUCAAGAGACACUUUUCACAAAUUUCAUACACAGUAGAAAAUUUCGAAUUUAUGUUGAAGAGAAACAUCUUUAUCUUUAAAAUCAUUUCCACAAUUUUUAAUACAUAUUGGAUUUUGUGGAAUUGUGGAAAGUGUCUUUUCAAGAGAUACCUUUAGUAUAAAUCCAAUUUUUUUGAAUUGUAGAAGGUGUCUCUUCAAGAGAUACCUUUAGUAUAUAUUAGAAUUUUGUAGAAUUGUGGAAUUGUGAAAAAUGUUUAUUUAAGUGGCACCUUUUAUAUAAAUUAAAUUUUUUAGGAAUUGUAGAAGGUGUUUCUUCAAGAGACAUUUUUACCUUUAAAAUCAAAUUUAUGAGACAUUCAAAUUUGUCAAAUUGUGGAAACUGUCUCUUCAAGAGACACUUUUAAUACAUAUUUGAUUUUUUGCCACGUGGAAAGUGUCUUUUCAAGAGACACCUUUAAUAUAAAUCCAAUUUUCUGGAAUUAUGGAAGAUAUUUCUUCAAGAGACACUUUUAACUUAAAUUCAAUUCUUUUAAAUAUAUAUCAUGAUUUUGAAAAUUGUGGAAGAUAUCUCUUUAAAAGACACAUUUCAUAUGGUCAAAACUGUCGUAGAUCUAUCAAUAUUUUUCUAAUUACCAUUUUUUAAUAAUUAUUUUAAAAAAUUGUUGCAAAAGUUAAAAAAAAGUCAAGUCAAUCUACUAAGAUGUGUCGAGGACAAGAAAGAGAAAUUAUAUGAUCUUUAGCUUUAAUUUUCUAAUAAACAUCGAAAUAAUAAAAACCUUCAUUCCUACAUGUGAUUAAUCGACUCAAAUCAAUCUUUUGAGGCAUCUCAAUUACCUAAACCACAAUAAGAAAUGGGUUACUAUAUCCUAUCAUUAUCAUUUUAAGUCGAGGAUGGGGAGUAGAUUGAGAUAAUCCCGUGAACGGACUAUAAAGUCUAUUGCAAAAGGCCACAGUAACUUUACUUUUCCAAUUUGUGCAAUUAUAUUUUUCUCUUUUAGUUUUCUAUUAUUUUCACUUUUUAUUUUUUAUCUUAUGUAUAAUAAAUAUCAAAUAAAAAAAGACAACAAAAAGUUAAUAAAAUUUGAAAAAAAAAUAUUUAAAAAAGUUACACAGUUAUUCUAAUUUUCCGUUUCCACUUCAUGCACGGUAUUAUUUGGUCUAUUAACAUCCCUAAUUACACCAUCUUUAACUAUAAUUUUCUAGUUCAUAUGGUAACACAUUAACCUUUCCUCAUUACACUUCUAUGUACUCAAAUUAAUAAAUUGAGACAUCUCAACCACAUAAAUAUCAAUUAGGAAUUUAAGGGUUUGUUUGGGAACUAUUUUUUAGAACAAUUUAUUGUUAUUUGGAACAAAAAAACAUGGUUGGCAACUAAAAAUCAUUUCCUAUUUUUUGUUCUAAAAAUAGAAAAUAUGAUGUUUUUAAAAAACAUCUUUUAGUUAUUUUCUAUUAUUUUCACUUAUUUUUUUAAGGGUUGUUUUAGGAAAUAAUUAUACAAUCAUGUAUAAUAAUUAAAAAUAAAAUCCUAGAUAUAAAAAUUACUUUUAAAAUAUAUUUAAAAAUAUUAAAAAUAAGUUAAAAACAUUUUAAAUUUUCAAACAGAUUUUACAGUUUUUAAAAAUUAUUUACAAAAACUAUUUUUCAGAAGUGUUUUUUAAUACCGUUAUCAAACAAGUCUUAAGCUUUUUGAGUUAAGUGGAGCAAAUAGAUUGACAUAUUUCCAUGAAUAGACUAUAAAGUUUAACAAAGUCCAUAACAACCCAAUUUUACUUUUUCAAUUGACUAGAAUUUUAACUAUUAUAUUUUUCUCUUAAUAUUUCUCCUAGUAUACUUUUUCAAUUAAUUUUUUGUUUUUUUCUCUUACUUCAACUUUGUAGUAACUAUUAAGUAAAGGAAAAAAAAAUUAAAAUGUUGAUAAAAUCUGAAAAAUAAAAUUAAAAAUGCCAACACUUCUCUUUAUUCAAUCAUCACUACCCACCAAAUAAGAUUGAAAAAAAAUAAUAAUACAAGGAAACGUUGUCAUUCUCAUUUUCACUUCCCGUUUAUGCAUAGUAUUGUUUGAUUUAAUUGCCCCAACUUGCAUUGGUCAAUCAUCAUGUUACAAGGCCUUAAUGCUUACAAAUUUUGGCAAAUUAAUGUUUUAAUCCUUUCAUGUGUCUUUACAUGUUAAGGAUGAAAAUAUCAGUUCAAUAGAUAUAUCCGUGAUUGGAUUUAAUAGAUAUAUUGAGAAAUAUUGGUGGACAUCUUGAUAAAAAAAUCAAUGAGAUAAAAUUGAUGAAAACACAUAAAAGUAUUGAGAAAAACUUCAAUAAAUAAUAAAAUAAGAAAAAAUAUACAUAUUCAAAAAUCCGAACAAAAAUAUCAUUUAAUGUAAAACAAAAGUUUAAACAAAUGCAAUAUAUAAUUUAUUUUCAAGUAAAUUGGAGUUAAGUGACAAAAAAUAAUUAUAAAUUAUUGAUUAUUUUUCAUAAUGCUUUAGGGUCAAGUCAAUUAAUUGAGACACAUCAAUGGAGUUCUCUCCACAGUACUUUAUUCGUAAGUAAUGAAUUGAAACAUCUCAUGAUUUAAAAGGCAUAAAGCAUAAAUUACAUUAUAGAGAAGACCAUUACUUUUUUAACUUUCAAAGCCAAACCAGUGGAUUAAGACAUCCACAAGAUAACUUUAUUUUUCCAUCCAAAAUAUAAGACAUGCAUACUACUUUUUUUCAACUUGGCUUGUUAAUCUUUCCCCUUUUUUCAUAUUUAUCUUAUACUAUGGGAUGGUAUACAAUGAAAAGAAAAGUUCUGAAAAUUAAAAAUUAAUACCAUUCUCUUCAUUUAAUGACUAUUUAUCACCUAUAUACAGUACUUGAUCUUUGCAUUAGCAAGUCUAAUAUCAUCAAAAUCUUUCCAUACUAUCACUCAUAAAAUAUUUGCUCUAAUUGUUAAGGAAUUUAUUGUCAAGUCUAAUCAUCACAAUUUUUUACAACUUAUAUUUCCUAGUCUGGUGAUUAUAAAUUAUAAUAUCUAUUGAGUCAAUUUUUCUUUUUUCAAAUUAUCGCAACAUUUGUGCCAUGAAAUUUAAUCAUUAUCAAUUACAAGGCCUAUUAUUUAUUAAUUUAAAAACCUUUUGACCUCUUCUUGGAUUCUUUGAAUUUGCCCCUUCUCACCUAAUGUUAGGUCUCAUCAUGACCUAUAAAGUGAUUACUUGAUCAUACUAAUACAACUUACAAGAUUAUGUAUAUAUAAAUUCUUUAUGUAAGAAAGUAGGCUUUGCAAAUACAUUUUGAAAAAAGUUUCUAUAAAAAAUAAUUUUUUAAAAAAAAUCAAUUUUUUUUAUCCAAUAUACAACACUAUUGUAAGGAAUUGAAGAUUUCAAAUAUAAAGUACACAAAUUUGGCGAAAUUACUAAGCAUCAUGAUAUCUCUACUAACUAACUUUCCUAUGAAGACAUUAGCACAUGAGCUUCCCUUUCUUUCCUAUUGCUCACUGUUCUACCUAAUGUGAUAAAAAAGAAAGUAUGAUAAAAAAUGACAUAUACCAUAUGUUAUAGAUAAGUAAAGAUCUUAUCAACUCAAGUCAAUUGAUAUGGAAAAUAUAUAUCUUGGAUAAUUAUCACAUUUUUUCUCUCUUUCAUAUAGGAUAGGAUAAUCAUGCGUAAAAUUUUGUAAGUCCUUCGAGAAAGAUACGUUAACUUUUAUUUUUUACAUUUUUUGAGAUCAAGUCAACAGAUGACCAAGCGGGCGAGAAAGAAUAAACAUACAAACCAUGAACCUUAUACUAUUACUCUCUUCUCUUACACACAAGAUUAUCUAGACAAACAUAUUAUUUCACAUAAAACAAAAUUUUAAGCAAAUACAAAUAUAGUUUGAGCACAUACAACAAAAUUUUUUUCCUUUUUUUAAAAAGAUAUUGUUGGGCAAAACUUUUUUGUAUGAUUUUGGAUCAUGCUAGAUCAAUUUGAUAAAUUUUAAUUAUAUCAAUAUUCUAUAUGUUUUAAUACAAGAUAAAUGAAUUUUUGUACCCAAUGGCAUGAGUAUCCUAACAUAGCAUCUAAAUAGAAUAUUUGAGUACCCAAUGGCAAUGAUGCUUCCUUUGAUCUUGUUAGAAAAAUUAGGCUAAUCUAACCUAUGGUAAUCACCCUAGAGGGAGGUGAAUAAGGUGAUGGUCUCUUUUUGUAAAUUUAAAUUAUGUGAAUGCAAGAAAUAAUUAUAUGCAAGUAUAUAAUAAAACAAUAAAAAGACAAUUGCAUAUAAAAGUAAAAAAGUAGGGAAGAGAGAAUGCAAACACAAUAUUUUAUAGUGGUUUGGUGCAACCUGGCCUACAUCCACUCUCCUCUAACUUCAAUCUCAAGCUUGAGGCUCCACUAAUUCAAGGCUUCCAAACCAAGCCUUCAAGCAAUACAAUUGGAUUAUGGUUCCAAUCCACCCUCUUGAACUUUUGGCUCCAAGCACCCUUUAUACUUCUCAAGAGAUACCUCACUCUUGAACAACCCUUAAAGUGAUACUCUACACUUGAGAAUCCCCAAGUGAUACCUCACUCUUAGACUAAUCUUCUCAAAGAUUUACAAAUGAUUUCACAAAAUCCUAGUACAAAACUUUAAGCUAAAAUGAAAAAAGAAAAUUAGGAUUGAAAGGCGCACUAAUGAUAUGCAAGUUUUAGAAUAAUGGUGCACUAAAAAAUACUCUCCCAAGGCUCAAAUAUAUUCAAGAAAUGUUUAGGAAGGUUAAGCUCCUGAAACAAUGAAGAUUGAAGCUUUUUUAUAGAGAAAAAAGGCCAAACUAGCCGUUGGGGUUCGACCGGUCGACCCCCAGUUGAUUGGUUGACUAGCCGUUAGCAUUUAAUACUUGACAAGUGACUGAUGGGCCUCGACCACCCCUUGACCAGACCUCAACCGGUUGAGGUGGGGGUCAACUGGUUGAGGUUGAACCUUGACUGGUUGAACAACCAUUCUGAAAGAGAGAGAAAGUUUUUUUGCACCCCUUAACCGGUUGAGCUGGGGUCAACCGAUUUCUCACCCGGUUCAACCGGUUGAGUCGUUUUUGUCUCAAUAACCAACUUUUUCAACUUAAAACCUUUUAAACAAGUUUGAAAAACAUUUUACACAUGGUUUUAGUAGAAAACAUGAAAUCAUCCAAUUUUAAAAUAUUUAAAACAAAAUAAUUCUUGGAUGAUUUUGGUGCAUAAGUAAAGAAUGCAAUGCAUGAAAAUUCUAGUGCACCAACAACCUUACAAAAAGAUCUUAUGAAGCUUGGGUCUUGAAAAAUACUUCUCUUUGAAGUCUUCUUCUUCUUAAUGAUUUCUCUUUGGCUUGAUUUGUCUCUGUGAUUGCCACUUUGGAAAUCGUUUUGCCUAAUCACACUUAAAAUAUAAUCAUUAGUUCUAAACCUUGUUUUAUUAUCAUCAAAACCGAGAUUAACCAAACCUUGGUUUCACAGAUCUCAAUAGUCAUAAAUGAAAUGCCUUGAUAAGUAGGUGAUCAAACAAUUCGCGAGUAAACAAAGAACUAAAAUCCCUAUCCUAAAGACUAAAAUAUAUAAAAAAAUGAAAAUAGAAUAAUAAUAAUAAUAAAAACAUGAUUCAUGAAAUUGGAAACAGAACUUGACUACCAGUAUCAUUUGACUAUUCCAAUGUAGGUGCUCUAUUAUGUUAGUGUCAUAUGUCUCAUCAUGUAACCUCUAGCGUAAAGUGACAACAUGUGUCUCCAUAGCUAAUCGGUUGGCACUUGUCCGUCAUGCUUCUCUUAUACACUAGCGAAAGCUUUUUCUAGAAAAAAAAGGGCCAAGGAGUCUUUUCAUGGUGUAGACCCCCAUUUGGGGCUCAUUUUUUGCAGCUUGCUUUUAGCCAGGUGUCACCAUAUGGGGGAAGCCACGUGUCACAUUUUGACUAGCUGCUAGAGAAUCACAAUAGUGGAGCUGGAGGAGCAAUCAGGGAUUGACACCUGGAGGGGAGCUGCAGAAGGGGGUACGUUUCUGUUAUGGAGGAGCAGCAUGCCAGCUGCAGGAGGAGGAGCUUUUGUUUGGUUUUUUUGAGAGGAAGGAUUGCAGAGUUUUAGGUGGUAUUAUAAUUUCAGGACGUGGGACUUGAGAGAGGGAAGAGAGCUUUUGUUUGGUUUUUUGGGGGAGAGUGGUCCGAGGGUGCUUUUGGUUGCGGUCUUCAGGCAGAGAGGGGGACGGAAAGAAAGGGAUUUUGAGGGAAAAAGUUGAGGGAUAGGAGGCGAGAUAUUUUUGAGGAGAUUGCUUAGCUAGAGAUUGAGAGGAGCUUAGAGAAAAAACCAGAAGGAGAAGGGGAAAGAGAAAGAGAUCCUUUCAGCUGAAGAGGGUAGCAGGCUGCUUGGCUUGGGGAAGGACUUACAGAGGAGUUUUAUUCAGUUGAAGGAGGAGAUAAUAGAGGAAAGGGGCAUCCUCAGGUACGUUUGCUGAACCACAUUUUGCUUGCCAUUGAUAUCUUUUGGGGUGUUGUGACUAUGUGAUAAUGUAUCCAUGCUUUGUUCUUCAUAGAAAAUUUGUUUUAGAAUGAUCCGAUUCCUUUUUACCUCUCCAUUGGGUGCCUGAGUCAUAUCUUUGGGACCUAUUUCCACUGAUUUUCCCACCUAUACCUGAGCUUAUUGACUCCAACAUGAAAUGGAGCUCGGGUCAGUGUUUUUCUUUGUUUCAGUUGGUACUUUGUUUUUGUGCUGGCUCCCUCGCUGUUGAUACCCUGUUCUCGAUGGCCAUUCAUACCUUCAAGGAGAAGGGCCUUGGGCCAGCAUGAACCUUCGGUUUUCAUUAUGGGUACAGUUUCUAAAUCUUGGGAUCAGAAGAUGGUUUUGUGGAGUGUGUUUCCUGAGACGGGAUUUUUCUGCACCUGAAUGGGUCUUAGAAGAAGUCUUUGAACGUGGUCCGCUAUCAAUCAAGACUCAGGGUGUUGUCCUCAGCUAGCCAACUCCUGUGGGGCUUUCAGCUAUCAGAAUACCUGCUAGCAGUCCUCAUUUGGAAGCAUGGGAAGCAGAAGUGCUCAAAUGUGGCUAAUAAAGUUGUUGUUGUGUUAAGGCUUCAAGGGAAAUCCCAAGAUGGGCUCUCGUGUGGGCUUUGACUCACGUUGUUCAGCCCGGGGAUUGCAUUAUGCUUCUGGUGGUCAUCCCUCCUCACGACCGUGGUAAAAAACUAUGGGGUUUUCCAAGAUUUAGUAGUGAUUGUACCACUGGUCAGAGGAGGUUUCAUUCAGGAAUCAGCUCAGAGCAUAAGGGUGUUAUUACAGAUACAUGCACCCAAAUGAUGCUUCAACUCCAUGAUGUUUAUGACCCUGAUAUGAUAAAUGUGAGGAUAAAAAUUGUCUCUGGCUCACGAUGUGGAGUAGUGGCAGCUGAAGCCCAGAGUGUUCAAACAAACUGGGUUGUCUUGGAUAAACGGCUGAAACAGGGAUGGUGGGAAUGUUUGUGAAAACGAGAAGAAAUAACAGUACUGUGACGUGGUGGCAAACGUGUUGGGCUUCAGGUGACUUCCAGAUUUGAUGGGUUGCAGGCUCGACUUCAAUAUUUGGCUAUGAUGACUGAUGUGUAAGACGUAUUGAGGCCUGUUUCUCCUCAUCGUUCUGUUAUCUCCCAUCAUAAAGCAAGCUUAUAUGUAAGGGACUUUCAUGGUUAUCGGGUUCUUAUGGAUGAGGAUCUUGUUUCCCAAGAAGUCAUUGUUUACCCUAGACUUGCACUCUACCAGGCAACUGUUGGCUAUGUUGGUCCUGCGCUACACUGAACUGAGAUGAGCAAUAUGCAGGGUAAUAUGUCCUACACUGAACAGAGAUGAGCAAAUGGGCAGGGUAAUAUGUAUGGACGAUGCUCUCUGGUUUUCAAACUCAUGCCCAAAUCCAUGACUAGUCUCAAUUGUUCGGAGAUGAGGGCAGCUGGUCAUGGGGUUGAAACUCAGUUUCAGCUUAUGCAGAGAUCCCACCCACUGAGCAAUUUUUUAACAGACACAAUUUCCUAAGUUUCAAUUUUCAUACAGCCCAAGAUGGUCUUGGGAUCAAUGAAACGCUGGAAUAGGAUCUAUGAGGGAACCCAAAUUAAAUGAGCUUCAUGAACUUCCUAGGCCCACUUCCAGUUUGACUUUGAAACCUUCAAGACCUUCAAGUUUGAUAGGUCAUUCUGCCCCCCUUGGCUGCCAGUGGUCCCCAACUUUUCUGAUAUAAAUAAAUUGGUGGUGUCAAGUACAGCAUCUCGGUUUCCAUUCCCUUAGCAAGCUGUUCCUCGCAGCUUCUUCACUCCCUCAAGUGGUCAGAGACUGAAGAUUCCACGUGUUUUUGGACCAUCAGAAGCUCCUCAAAAUUGGGAUUCUGAGCACUCAUGUCAGAAGGGAAUGAUGUAACUGGUGAGGCACCAAAGGAGUUGGGAAAUUUGGCAAAUCUGACCACCCUGUGUUCGGAAAAUAACAGAUUGAUGGACAUUUGAGAUUGGCUUGAGAUUGGCAUGCUUCAUGGAAUUUUGAGACCACUAAAUGUUACUGCACUGUCAUUGAUGCUCCUGGACAUCGUGACUUCUUCAAGAACAUGAUCACUGGUACCUCGAAGGCUGAUUGGGCUUAUCAUUGAUUCUUACCACUGGUGGUUUUGAAACUGGUAUUUCCAAGGAUGGUCAGACCCGUGAGCAUGCUUUGCUUACCUUCCCCCUGGUGUCAGGCAAAUGAUCUGCUGUUGCAAUAAGAUGGACGCGACAAGUCAGUGGUAUUCAAUUGUUGUAGGUUAUGCUGUACUGGAAACCCAUUGAACCACUCCCCUUUCAUUGAAAGUAGCUAUGCUACCCACUGGAGUGAAAGAAACUCAACUCCGUGAGAGCAACAGCCAGAAGGUUCACCCCCAACCCAUGGAAGAGGCCCUUAAUCAGACUCCGAAAGCACUAGAAGCCCUGGUAUCCAAGAUUUUUAUGAACAUCUCUUCCUUAAAGUCAGCUUAUAUUCAGCUCCUAGUUGCUCAUACUCCUUAUGAACCUGAUAAAAUCCAAGCUGCUGAUUCCUUCCACAUACGCCGCUGCAACCACCAUUUGCCUCCGCAUCCUAGACUUCCAUCAAUGCCAGCUUUCCAACACCAGCAUUCGUCACAAAUGGGCUCUAGUAUGGGAUUCCAAUAAUCUGGCAAUCAGCUGCAUCAUUCUCAGCCUGUGUUUCAUUCAGGUACCCAACAUAAUGCUAGCAUUGAGCCUUCCUUUACACAGGCACAGCCACCACUUCCAAGUCAGCUGCCAUCGCAAUCUUUUUAUCAGAUUGGAGGCUCACAUUUAAGGACAGAGUUCAAUAAUCCUGCUGGAAGCUCCAUGCAAGUGGACAGGGGAUUUUUUGCUUGGAUGCCUCCCCGUCAUGAGAGUACAAUGGGAACACAGAUCCCAGGACCUCCACCAUUAGUUCCUGGGUUUGGCUCUAGCAACCCACCUCCAUAUCCCCCAAUGUUAAACCCCGAGAUGGGGAAGGCUUUGUUUCAGCGAGUGUCUCUUCAAACCUGUCUUAAGACCUAAUAGAAGACAGCAAAGUUGAUGUUGUCUAUGCGAAUCUAAGACACAGCGGCUAUAGUGUUGCAUCAGACGUGCUAUUGGCGGUGGUUGCAUGGGAGGUUCACCUCUUAAGGUCCUGAUCAACGGCAGUUCGUUAAUGGAGUCGAAGUUCUCCAAUACAGAGAAAGAGGUCCUGAAUGACCAAAAGUUGUGUCACCUUUUUUAUGAGUAUUCUCAGAUCCUCCUUGUCACUUCUAUCAAUAUAAGCUCGAAGCAACUCCAGAGCAAACACCAAGUGGCAAUGAGACUGAAAAGCUCAUAAGGAGACAACAUGCUUCAUAUUCAGACUGUCCUGCAGAUUUGGCAGCCAAGUGUCAAUGUAUGACCACCGAUGAUGCUACUAUUUGCUUCUAGUAUAUGCAUGGAUAGAAAUGGGUGGCAGUGCCACGACUGGCGUGUGCGUGAUGUGAUUCAUUCUUUUCUACGUUGCCUUCUACAGUCUCGUUUGGCAUUUCUACAUUGCCAAAGAUCAGUGCCCACUGUGAAGCUACUUUGGCUUCCGCCUUGGGCAGUUGUCAUUGUUUGGUGGAGCUAUGGAGGGAGGUUUGGAACCUGGUGCAGUCACGGUCAUUGAUUUGGUGAAAGAUGUAUGGAUAGAGAGUGAGAUUCCGGAUACAGCUCUAUUGUUUAACGAAGCGACUGAGGCUUUUGGAGGAUGCGAAGACCUAUGAGAUUCUUAUCAAUGUUUCUUGAGUAAAGCUUGAAAGACGGGUCUUGCUAUUUAGUUGCAUGAGAAAGUGAAGAGGGAAUUACAAGGGUGGCGUCUUCACAUAUGAUAGGAUCAUCGAUCCUCUGGGCAAAGGAUGAGACAACCACCGAGGCGCUGGUUGUGUUUUCUGAAAUGUUUGGUGAUGGCAUUUUUUUUUUUUUUUUAGACGCAGUUGCUCACAGUUCUUUGAUGGAUGUGCUGCGCAGGCUCGGAAGAUUGGAGAAGCUCGCUGUUAGUGUCACUCAAUAUGCCCCAUUCUCAUCAGUCAUCUCAUACUCAAUAUCACUGCAUGACCACCUUUGACCCAAGUGCCAUUCUCCAUUUUUACUACCUUCGACUUCUUAAAAAUAGUUUUUCAACCCCUUUUCUUCGAAUAAUUUUGUGGGUUUUAGUCCUUAAACAACCCCAACUCAAAGCUCUUUUUCUUCCUUAGAAUUUCUUUUUUAGGUUCCAAAAGUCUCACUUUCCAAUAAAAAUUUGCUGCCAUUUUCUAUUCAGCAAGCAAUUUUCAAAUCUCCUCUGUUUGUUAAAAUGUUUUAAAAUAAGAGUGAAUUAAAUUCCGUAAUCCCGAAUAAUGGAAUUUAUGGAAUUAAUUCAUGCAAAAAUAAACGGGCUUUGGUGGGGGCCCAACAUAUGAGAUUUCAUGAUUGAUGGAUUGAUUUGUUGAUUUGAUUUAUUCUGCUCUAUGACAUGCAUGAGAUUAUUCCUUAAUUGUGCACUAAUCUCACUUCUUGAUAGCGCAUUGAGGAUCGUUGCCCAAGUACGCAUCUGUUCUUAUUCUGGUCUUGCUAUAUGCAUGUUUUGACACUCAUAUGUGCAUGAUUGAUUUGAGUAUUCGCUGAUUUCCUCAUUGAUUGCCACGUCAGCUUCAGUCUAUUAGUAGAGACCCGAUUUUAGGGACUUAGAGGGGUGCUACGGUUUUUACCGUACCUUCCCGAUAAGUAACUUGACCCCCGAACCCAAUUCGGUUUUUUUCGUAGAUCACCUUUUCCAAAAUAAGGAGUCGCACUUAGGGUUUUUCUUUCUUAUUUUGUUUACCCUUUAAAAAAAAAAACAAAAAUAAGUGGCGACUCCAAGUCAUUUUCUUAAUCAAAUAAAAUCAAUUUUCAAAUAAUAAAGAUCGAGCUCGCCAUCGAGUGGGAAACGCAUGAGCCGAAAUGCGGGGUCCACACAUGGGUCCAUUUAGUCCUUGUCUAGAGCAACCUAGACUAAGUUAACUCUGUGUGGGAACCUACUAGGCUUGUACCCCUAUGAUCCAAAAUAGAGAGGCAAUUAAACUAACUUUCAAUUUCUUCCCUUCAGCAAACAUCAGCAAAAUUCAAUUCAUUCAUAAUACUAACUCAUAAAAAUUAAUAAUACUAGUUUAUGUUUUAAUCCAUUAAUUUGAACACCAAUUACAUUUUCAAGUACCUAUUUGAGCAAUAAGUGGACAUAUCUUUGAAUGGAGGUAAAUAGAUAAAAUAUCAAUCCCUUUUUUUUCACCUCACUUAUUUUCAUUAAUAAUUAUUUGAUUUUACUAUAAUAUAUUUCCAAGCCAAUUCGAAAUGGUCCAACAAAAGCAAGGUCUAUAACUUUCAACUCCUCAAUAUCCUUAUUUUGCAAAGAAAAAAAAGGGUAAAAGAGUCAUCCUUUUAAAAAAUGAAAAUAAGUAAAAAGGAAAAUAAAUAAAUAAAUAAAUAAUAUUACAUGUUGAGGAGAAAUGAGAUUUCUUAUACCAGUUAAAAUUUAAAUAUCCCAAAGACAAACAUAUAUAUAUAUAUCAAAUAAAUAAAAAAAGAUCAUGAUUAAUGGAAAUGGAAAGAAACUUUGGCUACUGGUAUGCUUUGAUCAAUAUUCCUUAAAAAUCUUUGAGUUCUUACCAUUGUUAUUGAAAGUCCUUGUCAGAGCAACGAUCAUACCAUCAUCAUGAGUAUCCCAAUAUAAUAUUUGAAUAUACAUCUAAGUACCCAAUAACAAUGGUGCUUCCUUUGAUUUCAAUAGUCUUAAAUGAAAUCCUAUAUGUGUAAGUGAUCAAGCAGUUUGAGAGUAAAUAAACAAUUGAAAUCUCUAUCCUAAAGACAAACAUAUAUAUAUAUAUAUAUAUAUAUAUAUAUAUAUAUAUAUAAAUAACAUGAUUGAUGAAAAUGGAAAGAGAACUUAACUACCAGUAUGGUAAGAUUAAUGUUCCUUAAAAAUCGUUGACUUCUUACCAAUGUUAUUGGGAGUCUUUGUAAGAGAAACAGUCAUAUCAUGGUCAUGAGAAUCCCAACAUCAUAUCUGAAUAUACAACUAAGUACCUAAUAGUAAUGGUGUUUCAUCUUAUUUCAAUAAUCCUAAAUGAAAUCCCUAUCCAUGCAAGUGAUCAAUCAAUCUGUGAGUAAAUAAAGAACCACUCAUUUAGUGGUUUUUGUGUUAUGUGGUAUCUUAAUAAUAAGCAUGUUCCAUAUUUGAGAAAAUCCAAAUAAAAUCAGAAAAUGUGAUAGGGAUAGAAAAUGUUGUACCAUUGAAGAGCAACAUCAAUUGAGAUUCCAUUAAUUGUUUGUUUGAAACCAAAUCACAUCGUGAAGUGGUUUUUAGAUUUGGAAAAUAUUAAUCCCUAUUUGGAAACAAAAUAAAACAAGAAGAAUUUAUCAUUGUUAAAUGACUAAUUGUUAAGUCCACAUUCUCCAGAAUCCUACAACAACCUAGGUCACACACCCUUAGUAAAAUAAAUGAAAGCUUUAUUAUGACAAGAUAAUUUCAAGAUGGAAAUAAGAGAAUCAUAGACAAUUUACUUCACUAAUGUUUCUUUGAAAUGAAAAAUAAGUCAAUUUUUGCUACUCCUUUUGGUAUUCCACUGGUUCCGAUAUCCUGGAAAAAAACAUGAACCAAAUUAUUACACUAAGUAGAUUAGUGGAAAAUUGAGGGUCUCUCUCUAGUAAGAACUUGAAGUAUCAUGUGUUUAUACCAAUCUAAGGACUUUAUUCCAAUAGUGUUGUGUCAGGUCAUUUGACCCCUUGUAGAUAGUGACAAUAUAUGUCCACCAUGUUUUUUUUUUUUUUGUACACUAGUGAGAGCUUCUUCUAGAAGAAGGAGACCAAUGAGUCUUUUCAUGGCUCCAUUUCGUCCUUGUUAAGAGCAACCUAGACCAAUUCAACCCUGUAUGGGAACCAACUAGGCUCAUACCUAUUCAAUCCAAUAUGGAAAGGUUAUUAAACCAAAUUUCAAUUUCUUCCCCACAGAAAAUGUUAGUAAAAUUUAAGUAAUUCAUAAUACUAACUCAUAAAAACUAAUAAUACUAGCUUAUGUUUUGUUACAUUAAUCAGAAGAUCGAUUACAUAUUGAAGUACCUAUUUGAGCAAAAAGUGGAGAUGUCUUUGAAUGGAGCUAGAUAAUAUAUAUAUAUAUUUCUUUUUUUCACAUCACUUAUUUUUUUUAAUAAUUAUUUGCUUUUAAAAUAAUAUAUUUCCAAGUCAAUUCCAAAUGGUUCGACAAAAGUAAAAACUAUAACUUUCAACUCUUAAAUAUCCUUAUUUUGUAAGGUGAAACAAAGGAAAAAUAGUUAUCAUUUUGACAAAUGAAAUUAAGUAAAGAGGAAAACAAAUAAAUAAAAAAAUAAACUUACUGGUUGAGGAGAAAUGAGAUUUCUUAUACUAGUUGGAAUUUAGAUAUCCCAAAGACAAACAUAUAUAAAAAAUAAAAAUAAAACAAAAACAAAAAACAAAAUAUCAUGAUUGAUGAAAAUGGAAAGAGAACUUGACUACCAGUAUCCUAAGAUAAAUGUUCCUUCAAAAUAUUUGACUUCUUACUAAUGUUAUUGAGAGUCCUUGUUAGAGAAGCGGUCAUACCAUGGUCAUGAGUAUUCCAACAUCAUAUAUGAAUACACAUAUAAGUACUCAAUAGUAAUGGUGCUUCAUCUUAUCUCAAUAGUCCUAAAUGAAAUCUCUAUCCAUGAAAGUGAUCAAGGAGUCUAUGAGUAAAUGAAAACCACUAGUUUAGUGGUUUUUGAGUUAUGUGAUAUAUUAAUAAUAAGCAUAUUCUAUAUUCGAGAAAACCUAAAAAAAGUCAAAACAUGCAAAUGUGGCAAAAAUGUUGUACCUUUGAAGAACAACAUCAAUUGAGAUUCCAUUUGUUGCUUUUCUGAAACCAAACCACAUCAUGAAGUGGCUUCUAGAUUAGGAAAAUGUCAGUCCUUAUUGGGAAAAAAACAAAACAAGAAAGAAUUUAUCUUUAUUAAAUCACUAGCCAUUAAGUUUUGAUGCUUUAGAAUCAUGUCACAACUUAGGUCACAUGCCCUUAGUGAAAUAAAUGAGAACUUUGUUAUGACAAGAUAACUUCAAGAAAGAAAGAAGAGAAUUAGAGACAAUUUACUUCACUUAUGUUUGUUUUAAACAAAAAGUAAAUCAAUUUUUGUUACUCCCUUUGGUCUUCUAGUGGUUCUUAUAGCCUAGAAAAAAAACAUAAAACCAAUUAUUAUGCUAAGAAAAUUAGUAAGAAAUCAAGGCUCUCUCUUUGGUAAGAACUUGAGGUAUACAUGUCUAUUCCAAUGUAAAGACUAUUCCAACAAUGUCAUGUGUUUGGUCAUGUCAUCUCUUGCAUAUAGUGACAACAUAUUUCUCUUAUAGCUAACCAAUUGGCAACUGCCCCCUAUGCUUCUCUUGUACACUAGUGAGAGCUUCUUCUAGAAGAGGAAGACCAAGGAGUCUUUCAUGGCUCCAUUUAGUCCUUGUCAAGAGAAACCUUGACCAACUCAACCCUAUGUGGGAACCUACUAGUCUUGUACUCAUGUGAUCCAAAAUAGAAGGGCUAUUAAACCAACUUUCAAUUCUUCUCUUCAAAAAAUUUUAGUAAAAUUUAACUCAUUCAUAAUACUAACUCAUAAAAACUAGUAAUACUAGCUUAUGUUUUGAUCUAUUAAUUAGAACAUAAAUUACAUAUUGAAUUACUUAUUUACAGGUAGACGAAAAAUGAGAUUUUUUACACUAGUUGAAAUUUAAAUAUCCCAAAGACAAACAUAUAUAAAAAAUAAAAAUAAAAUAAACACAAAAAAGAACAUGAGUGAUGAAAAUAGAAAGAAAACUUAACUAAUAUUAUGCUAGGAUCAAUGUUCCUUAAAAAUAUUUUACUUCUUACCAAUGUUAUUGAGAUUCCUUGUCAAAAAAACGGUCAUACCAUCAUCAUGAGUAUCCCAACAUAGUAUCCAAAUAUACAUCUAAGCACCCAAUAACAGCGGUGUUGCCUUUGAUUUCAAUUGUCUUAAAUGAAAUCCCUAUACAUGUAAGUGAUCCAAGUACUCUAUGAGUAAAUAACUAAUUGAAAUCUAUAUCCCAAAGACAUAUAUAUAUAUAUAUAUAUAUAUAUAUAUAAUAAAAACAAUUGACUAUCGGUAUGCUAGGAUCAAUGAUCCUUGAAAAUCUUUGACUUCUUACCAAUGUUAUUGAAAGUCCUUGUCAAAAAGGUGAUCAUACCAUGGUCAUGAGUAUCGCAACAUUAUAUCUGAAUAUACAUUUGAGUACCCAAUAGUAAUGGUACUUCAAUUGAUUUCAAUAGUCCUAAAUGAAAUCCUUAGCCAUGCAAGUGAUCAAGUAGUCUGUGAGUAAAUAUGAACCACUCAUUCAGUAAUUUUUGAGUUAUGUGGCAUAUUAAUAAUAAGUGUGUUCAAUAUUUGAGAAAAAAAAAAAAGAACAUGCAAAAGGGAUAGAAAAUAUUGUACCAUUGAAGAGUAACAUCAAUUGAUAUUCCAUUUGUUGCUUUUUUGAAACCAAACCACAUCAUGAAAUGGUUUUUGGAUUAGGAAAAUGCUAGUCUCUAUUUGGGAACAGAACAAAAUAAGAAAGAAUUUAUCAUUGUUAAAUUACUAACCUUUAAGUUCUAAGUCUUCAAAAUCUUGCCACAACCUAGGUCGCAUGCUAGUAAGGAAAUAAGUGAGAACUUUGUUAUGAAGAGAUAAUUUCUAGAAGGAAAGAAGAGAAUCAGAGACAAUUUACUUCACUUAUUUUUCGUCUAAACUACAAAUAAAUCAAUUUUUGUUAGUCCCUUUGGUCAUCCAAUGGUUCCUAUAACUUGAAAAAAAUAAAAAAUAAAACCAAUUACUACGCUAAGAAGAUUAGUGGGAAAUUGAGGGUCUCUCAUUAGUAAGAACUUGAAGUAUCAUGUGUCUAUUCAAAUGUAAAGACUUUACUCCAAGAGUAUUUGUGGACCUGCAUUUCACACGUGCGUCCUCAUUCAUUAGCAAAACUUGAUUUUGAUGGUGAAAAAUUAGUUUUGGUAAAAUCGGAGUCACCACUUAUUUUAUUUUAUUUUGAAAGGGAAAAUGAAAUAAGAAAAAAACCCUAAAAAAGUGACUCCAUAGUUUUGGGAAAUGUUAGAAAGUCACAUGAUUAUAAGAUUUUUUUUGUUAAGAAACUAUGUAAAUAUGAAAUCCCAUGUAUAGUCAAUUGUAUUGAUAUAAAUCCUUGAUUUUUAGGGAUUUAUAAGGUAGUUUCUCUUUUCAUUUUUUAACAGCAACUUUAUAUAUUUGAGCCUAGACCUGUACCUUGAAUUAAUUUUGAAUAAAUCAAUCAUUCUUUUUCACAUGGUAUCAGAGCCAAGUUUAUUGGGUUUUCUUUGUUGCCUUUUGGUUUAGAAUUUCUUUUUAUUCCAACAAUUCUUUUGUGUCUUUACUAUCGGUUCUAUGGUGCCUUUUUUUGUGAUUUGUUAUUCUCAAAUUUUGUUGCUUAUCUUGUUUUCUACAAAUUGAUUUUGUUUUCUUUCCCUUCUUGAUAAUUGGGUUUUUUGAAUUUUUUUUCUUAGAAAUCUCUUUCUUAUUCUAUCCUAUUCCUUUGGUUUAAAAUUUCUAGGUUCACAUUUUUUUUGUGAUAUUUUUCUCUUAUUUUCUUUUCCCGUUUUCUAUCAUUUCUUAAAGAACUAUUUGCCAUGUCUGAGGUGUUUGAAGCAACCAACAUGUCGACUAUCCCUGCAUCUAAAGCACUUACGACUCACACACAAGGUGAGCUUUCGAACAUUCAAGCGGUGUAUAGGUUGAGCGGGAAGAACUAUUUGUAGUGGUCACAAGUGGUGUGGACCUUCUUGAAAGGAAAAGGGAAGCUGAGCCAUUUGGUUGGAAAAUGACCUGAUCCGAGUGACCCAAAGUUUUACAUUAAGGAUGAGGAGGAUUUGAUGAUAAUGUCAUGGUUGUGGAAUUCCAUGGUUUCAAAAACCAGCAAUACAUGUGUGUUUUUUACCUUGAUAAAAGAGAUUUGGGAUGCUGUGAACGAGACUUAUUCCAAGCUACGUGACAUGACUCAAAUUUUUGAGAUUAAGACAAGAGUUUCUGCUACAAGACAAGACAAUCAUUCUGUCACUAAAUAUGCUAAUAUUUUAAAAAGUCAAUGGCAAGAAUUAGAUCAUUAUCAAUGCCUCAAGAUGAUGCGUAGUGAGGAUGCAGCCCUGCUCAAGAGAUUUGUGGAGAAAGAGAAAAUCUUUAAGUUUAUUCCUGGCCUCAAUGUGGAAUAUGAUCAGAAACAAAGCCAAGUCUUAGGCAAGGAUGAGUUGCCAUCAUUCAAUGAGACCAUCUUUAUGAUUUGAGAAAAAGAAAGAAGGUGAGGGGUAAUGAUUGAAUCCCAAGUAGUAGAUGGCUCGACAAUGGUCUCAAGUAGGAAUUUGACAAUGCUUUCCAAUGGUGGAUCAAAUCAGGUUUCCAACUACGAGAAUGGCAUGGUAGAUUUGUCUAGAGUAGACAACAAAGAUAAUCGCUAGUGUAAUUACUAUAAACAACCAGGCCAUGAAAAGGAUCAUUGUUGGAAAUUACAUGGAAAAUCGCCUAAUUUUGGGAAGAAAUGAAAUAGUAAAGGUAAACAACAAGGUAAUUAGGGACAGACUCAUCUUUCUACUACUCGACUAGGUGAUAAAAGUUCCCAAGACACUGGAGAUUUCAACAAAGAAAAGAUUAAGAAACUGAGAAGGUUACUGGGAACUUUGGAAAAAUCCUCGGGUGCUUACUCAUUGGCACUCGCAAGUAAGUCUCUUAUAUUUCAUGCGUUAAGUGCUUCAAAUAUUAAUUUUCCAAACUCUUAGGUCAUUGACUUAGGAGCAAAAGGCUACAUGACAAAUUCUUCCCUCAAAUUUAGUACCUAUAGUCCAUGCCCUAGUAAUAAAAAGAUUGCAACGGUUGAUGGGUCGUUGACCAUUGUUGCCAAUCAGGGUGAAAUUAAAAUCAUCAUUCCUUAGUCUUGAAAAAUGUUUUACAUGUUCCUAAAUUGUCUACCAAUCAUGGAUGUUCAAGAUUGAGGUGAGAACAAAUAGAGGAAAAAAUCGAGUGAAAAUAGAGAAGCGCUUUGAAGUGGAGAAAAAGGUUUCCGAGGUUAGGUUCGAAGGCAUCCAUGUAGGUCCUUAUAUCUCAGUUAUGGAGAAGGUUCUAGGGCAUGCUUUCUUAGAGGCUUUCAAAGAGAAGGAAAUCGUUUGGAUUUUAGAAUAGUUGAAAAAGGUUACAGAUUUUUCUGAAUCUCGGGGUUUCAUUCAAAAUUUUAGGGGUAGAUCAAGAACACAUUUGGUGGAAAUCUAUUUAAAUAGUAGAUGAAGAUUCAUUAGAAUUUCGGAGUUCGUUACAAAUAGAAAAACUUAUUCUCUGAUUGUUCUUGAAGGUGUCAAAGGUAAAGGAUGGGAAGUCCUAAGAAAGUUGAUCUUCUCUGUGUUGAAGAGCCUUUUUCGUUCUGUCACUAGAACAAAGGAGGUGGAAGCAAAGAUAAAGAACAAAGUGGGGUUGGUAGGGUGGUCUAGGGAUAGGUCUUAUGCAAGAGUGGUUGACGAGAAGGGUCCAAGAAAAUGAGCUCUCUUACCAAUUGGAAAUUGGCCUAAGGCUAUGAUUUGUGAAGGCUAAGUUUUAGUUCAAGUUUGGGGUGUUGUAGGUAAGGCUCUUGCGAGAAUGAUGAGGGUGAGAGGAAUGAUUUCCAUAAACACUUUUUUCAGCUUUCAAAGGUGUAUUCUUGGUGGAUUCAGUUGAAAGAGCUGAUUACUACCAAAAAGUGCUAUUUUUUAGACCUAAUUAUAAUGGUUUUAAGCACCUUUGAGUAGUAAUCAUAUUCAUUUAACCCAAUUAAUUCAUUAAGGUCCUUAGUAAUUGGUUUUAACCAUUUUGUGGCAAGUUUACAUGUUUUUAUCAGCUUAUGAAUCAAUUCAAGCAUGCCAAAUGAUGGAGGAGCUACUUGGACAAGUUAUGGCAAAGCUUUUGGAAGCUCAAAUUCAUGAAGAACCAAGCUUUGGAGCUCCAUAGCCCUUUGACAAAGUCGUUCAAAGUAUGCAAGGAAAGAACAAUGGAAAAGAGGAAAAGCAAGCAAAGUGAAGAGAAGCAAAGAGGACAGCAGCAGCAGUCUUCUUUCGCACUUUUGGAGCACUUCCCGAAGUCCAUUUUUUACAUGCUAUAUACCAUUUCAAAUCUCUGGAAUUCGAAAUCCAACGCUUCAAACCGUGUACGAUUUGGAGCUGAAAUGAGGAAGAUAUGGCCUUCGGAAGCCAACUGCUCCAGGUUGUGCGAAAAUUUCGCACUACACAAGGUGUUAUGCGAAAUUCGCAUAACACCUUCAAAAUUCGCAUAACCCAUGCGUGGUGCGAAUUUUCCUCUGUUUUUGCCGACUCCACUUUAGAUAUUUUCCUUUGUAUUUUGUGAUGUAAUUUCCUUUCUUAUCCUUGUAACUAACCAAUCACAAGCUUUUGCUUUUGUAAAGACUAUAUAAGGGGUGGAAAUCACCUCUUGGAAAAUAUAUAGAACAUAGGUUACGUUUUACACUUAGAAUAUAUACAGAGCUCUCUCGUCUCUCUUUUCUCUUUACUAUUUUAUUUUCUUGGAAGCCAAACAGCCUUUGAGGGCUUUUCCUCAGAGGAUGAUUGGCUAAAACUUUUAGUUUCCCAAAGUAUGGAUGUUAUGUGAUGACUUGGAUGCAAUCCCAUGGAAAUCUCUCGCACCGGGAAGGUAAGGUAGCCGUUUUUCAUUAAAGGUUCAUUAAUGCAAAGUUUGGUUUUUAUUUCCUUUGGACAACUUCCAACGGCCAAUACUUGAUAAGCUUUUGGAUUUCUAUCCAUUAGUUAUCUCCUACGAGCUAUUGGAAGGUGAGGUUUUCAAUUCCAAGUUUUUCAUUAAUCCGUUAGAACCAAUUUCAAUGGCCAUUGAAAGGUGAGUUUAUCACUUGGAAUGACUUUGAGUUGCCAAUAUUUGGUAAGCUUUUGGCUUUAGACCAUUAGUUAUCUCUUACGAGCCAUUCAAAGGAAGUCUAAGGUGAAUAACCAUUGAUGAAAUUCACUACCAUCUGUUUUGCCAUUUUAAAGGAUUAAAACUUGAUUUGCUAAAUCCAUACCGGUUCGGGAAGCAAGCAUCACCAAGUUGCAACCCCAACGCGAGGAGCCUAUCCUGAGAUUUCCAAUUUGCAUAAGAGCUAGAGCAUAGCUAUCCUAUCUUUGAGAAACUUGUUUUUACACCCUUUCAUUUUAGUCUUUAAUGUUAGCUUAGAUUAGUUUAAAUCUUUCUAAAACAUUUACAUCUUCUUUUAAAGCUAACAUCCAUAAGAAAAUCACCUAUUUUCCUAAUUUGAAUAUCACUAGUGUUUGUGAAAACCCUUCCCAGUGAACGAUCCUAGAACCACUAUGCUAUAGUAGCUUGGCUACUUUAGUAAUAGUAUUCAAGGUAUAAAUUUUGUUGAUACGCCUUUAAAGCUAAGCUACCAUGAGUCGAAUCAAGAGCAGAGUGACUUCAAGUGCGAGAAAGGCUGGUUUCGAGAUGAGUGGUUUUUAGGUUGCGAAAAUGGUUACCAAGAGAAAAUAUAGUGGUUGUUGGAAAAUAUAAGAGGGGUUGGAUAGAGUUACAAGGUUUCCCAUUACAUCUGUGGAAUGAUAAUCAGUUAUGAUUCGUUUUGAAGAAUUGGGGAAAGGUGACAGAGGUAAAUUGAGAUACUUUAAAGCUUAUUGAUUUAUCCAAGGUUAAAGUGAAGAUGGAAAUGAAUCCAAACAUGGUGUUGCUGGUGCUGAUGAAGGUGAUAGAUGGUGCCUAGGUUUUUUACAGUUGCAGUCUCAUUCAUUAGAGGGGAAGGAGAAAAUGUACAGAGAAAGCCCAAGUUAACUUGCUAUAGAAGUGAGACGGCUUUAGUGGGGGAUGACAUGUUGCAAGGCCCUUCACAAGCUUUGAGGACACGUGGCAAGGCUAGGAUAAUUUUGAGGAACAAUUGCCACCCACUCUUUCUAGUCUCUAACAUUAUUUCAAAAUCAAAUAGGCUUGUGGCGCGAGGGAAUGUUUUAAAGGAAAUGAGGGCCUGCACAGGAAGAGAAUCAAACCUAGUUGAGAAGAAAAACCCAAGCCUUUCCAAAGGACACUUGGGGAAUGGAUCAAAGCUAAUUGAUGGAUGACCCAAGAUAGCAAGGCCAGCUCUAGAGAAAGCCUAUGUUGUAGUAAUGACUUUGGGUUGUUUUCCCUCAUCUUUGAAGAGCAAGCCUAUUUGGAUGGCCCUAAAGUUAGAAGACUAAGUUGCAAUGUUUCCAAAGUGUUGAAGGUUGUGGGGGAUGAUGGUUCUAAGGAAGUUCCUUCAAAGAACAUCAAUUUUUAUCUCUGUGCGUCAAGAUCCCACCAUAGUCUAAGGCGGAAGUUGGGUAGGAGUCGGGCGAGAAGCUUGCCUCCACUACCCAUUUUUGAGAAUAUACCAAGCCUCUUGCUUGGGAAUGUUGUAGUGAACAAAGAUUUUGGUUUUCAAGAGUGGAAGCUUCUAUCGAAGGCUGAGAUUUUUAUCGAAAGAAAGAAUUAGAGCUUUUCUCUAAAGAAAGAAGCAAGACUAUUAUGGACCCUCACCCGAUCCACCGACCGGCGCGACUUGUUAUUUUAAAAGAAUAAGAAAGUAAGUGUGUUUUCGGGUUUUGGAAAAUCCGUCCCCGGUGAGGAACGAUUUUGUUUGGAGUCGCCACUUACUUUUUAUUUUUAUUUUUAUUUUAUAAAGGAGAAAAUCAAGUAAGAACAAAAACCCUUAAUGACUCCAGUAUGGAAAAAGCAGUCUACGAAAACUAGAUUUUGGGUCUGGGGAUUAGGUUACCUAUUAGGAAGGUACCUCAUGCGAGGUAGCACCCCUCUAGGCCCGGAACUCGGUCUCUAUUGAUGAAUUGGGUACAUAGGAGCAUAUGGGUCAAAGAUCAAUUGAUCGAUCAUGCUAAACAAAUGACAUAGAUCAGACGAACCUGCUUAGUAUCUAGCAUGCACUUACUCUCCACAAAUCAAAGCUAAAAGGUGCGUACCUGAGGUCCCUAGCCAAGCGCUACAUAAGAGGUUAGUCAAGCAAUAUAAACACACAACAAGCAAACAUAUCCAAGCUCCAUGCAUGCAAAUGAAUCCAAUUCCCAACAAGUCAAGUACGUAUCUUGGGUCCCCAGCCAAGCCCUGCAAACAGGGGCAAAUCAAUAGACACAAGCAUUUUUAAUCAAACAUCAAAAUGUGCCCAAGCCAAACAUUCACAAUGAGCCCCCCGACCUUCCUAGCCAAUAAUACCCUAAAAUCAUGGGUGGGCCCACAUUAAUUCAAACCAAAUCUGGAUUCAGACCCUAAAGGUGGCUUACAAGUGCCUUGGAGCCUAAGGGCCCAAGCCACAACAAAAAUGGGGGUCAAAACACGCUGAAACUGGAGCUACCUAGUAGAAUCAGUUGAACCGGUUCACAAAUGGAUCAACCGAUUGAUAAAAAAUCUGAACCUUUACCAGAAUAUUCCUCAGAGAAUAAGGAAUCCAACAAAACAAACGGCGCUCAAUUCCAAGCCCGGAUGAGGGAGAACCGGCUGAAACAAUGCAAAGUGUUUAUAAAACGGGGCUGCCACCAAGCCACUCUGUUGAACCGGUUCCCAACCGGUCCAUCCGAUUGAGAAAAAAUAUUAAACUUUACCAGCAGAUUCUUUAGAGAAUAAGGAAUCUAAAAAAACAAACGGCACUCAAUUCCGAGCUUGGAGGAGGGAGAACUGGCUGAAACAAGGCAACACAUUUAUAAAACAGGGCUGGACAUGCAGGACCUGUUGAACCGAUUCCCAACUGGUUCAACCGGUUGAGAAAAAUUCUGAAAUUUUAACAGCAAAUUUCCCAAAGAACAAAAAAAAAAAAAAAAAAAAGCAAUGACACUCAAUUCCGAGCCCAGAUGAGGGAGAACCGGUCAAAACAAGGCAGCAUGCUUAUUAAACAGGGCUGGACAUGCAGGACCUGUUGAACAGGUUCCCAAUAAGUUCAACCGGUUGAGAAAAAUUUUGAAAUUUUAACAGUAGAUUUCCCAAAGAAUAAAGAAUCCAAAAAAAUCAACGACGCUUAAUUCUGAGCCCGAAUGAGGGAGAAUAGGUCAAAACAAGGUAAUGCGUUUAUAAAAUAGGGUUGGCCAUUAAAACGAGAGAAUGAUUCAAAAUAGAUUUUUAACAUGAACAAAAUCAAACGGGAUUAAUGGCAUCAACUGAAUGAAGAUCAUGGAAAACACACAAAGAACUAAUUUCAACAUAGCAAUUUGUGGCCCUUUUCAUCCACACCAAUCAAUAAAGCAUUAAGCAUUCUGGAACAAUAAAAAAGAGGAACUGAAUGCAAGCAAGAGUUCUGUGAGGAACCAGAAACGUACCUGAAGAACCAGCCUUUGAGAGGUGCUCCUUUAGCUUGCAAAGCUUCUCCAAAUGUAUCCAAGACCCCCAAAAGUCUGAGGACCUCUUCACUCCACUCCCUUAGACCACUCACGAAAAGAAACCCUCCAAAAACCUCUUAUAAAAUUCCUCCUCCACGAUUCCACAGAGUCCCCCCUCUCAGAAAAAGAAGAAGUCCCUUCAAAUCUGAUUUUUUUUCCUCUUUUAUAGUCCCAAACCUCCAGCCAUCAAAGCCUCUUCAUUUUUCUCUCCUUCAAGCUUUGGAAAGAGCUCCAAUCAGUCUCAGAAUCAGCUUCCCCAUUAACUCCCCUCCUCAUUUUCCAUGGAAGCUGACUAUCUUAAGCUUUCAACUUGCUUCCCCACCAAGGAUCCAUAUGGAUUCAUGGUGGGCUGCAAGAAAUAAAAAAUAAGGCUCAAAAUGGAUCCAAAAUACAGUCCAAAACUGAUCUGGAGCCCAUGGGCCCAAUCCAUGUAGGAAUUGGGCUCCAAAAUCACCAAAAUCAGUGCUCCAUACAAGCUGACUCAAUAAACGUGUUGAACCGGAUGCCAAAUGGUCGAUCCGGUUGAGAAAAAUUUUGAAAUUUUGAAAGAAUGUUCGUUGAAGAAUAAGGAGUCCAUAAAAAAAUGGUGCAUGAUUCUGAGGUUGGAUGAGGGAGAUACGAUCAAAACAAGCCCAAGUGCUCCGAAUUCAGACAUGCUACUAUGAAUUCUGCCUAAACUGAAACUUUGGGAAUCGCUCGAGCCGGUUGAGAAAAAAUUUGAAUUUUUUACAGAAUUUUCCUUGAAGAAUAAGGAGUCCAUAAAAAAAGCGGUGUGCAAUUCCGGGUUCAGAUGAGGGAGAUAUGAUCAAAACAAGCCCAAGUGCUCCGAAUUAAGACUUGCUCCUAUGAUUUCUACCUAAACUGAAACUUUGGGAACCGGUUGAGCUCGUUGAUAAAAAAUUUGAAAUUUUGACAAAAUGUUCCUUGAAGAAUAAGGAGUCCAUAAAAAAAAAUGGUGUGUGAUUCUGAGUUUGGAUGAGGGAGAUAUGAUCAAAACAAGCCUAAGUGCUCCGAAUUCGAACCUGCUCCUAUGAAUUCCAACUGAACUGAAAUUUUUGGGGGGCCUCACUUCCUUCCCUAUAGCAUGAUGUGAACAACUAAGGAAAUUGGCCAUGAUGGAACUCCAAAAUAAACUACACACCCGCACUUCAUUGGACUGCAAAUGAACCUACACAAGGCUCAGAAAUCGAUCAAGGCCAAAAGAGGGCCAUGGCGGGGUCAUAUGAAAACAUGGGUGCAUGUGACACCCAUAGGAUAAAAUGCAAGUGUCAAGGGACAAAAUUAAGGGUCUACAAAUCUGCCCCUCUUCAAUAAAGUGAAUGAAUGAGUGAGUUGCGAAUGCAAAGUGCAAGCAGUGAAUGAGUAAAAUGAACUUUAGUGAAUAAUUCAAAUGACCAACAAUUUUGUUUCCACACAACCAUAAAAAGGCUAAGGGAAUGAGCCAUGAUGACCGAAGGACUAAAGGACCCAGGCACGCUGCCAGAGAAAGCUAAAGGAAUCUGGACACGGUGCCAGAAAAGAUAGGAGAAAACCUGACGCGUUUCUGGGAGAGAUAUAAGAUCCAGGCGCAAUGCCGAAGAAAACAAAGGAAAUCCGGGCUCGAUGCCGGGAAAGAUAAAAGGAAACCGGACAUGAUGCCGGAAAAUAGGGGAUUCAGGCAAGAUGCCGAAGAGCCGCCAGAAUAACUAGGGGAUUCGAGCACGAUGCUAGAGAAAACAAAGGAAAUCCGGGCGCGAUGCCGGGAAAGAUAAAAGGAAACCAGACACUAUGCUGGACAAUAGGGGAUUCAGGCACGAUGCCAAAGAGCCGCCGGAAUGACUAGGGGAUCCGGGCAUGAUGCCAGAGAAAACAAAGGAAAUCUGGGCGUGAUGUUGGGAAAGAUAAAAGGAAACCAGACAUGAUGCCGGAAAAUAGGGGAUUCAGACACGAUGCCGAAGAGCCGUCAGAAUGACUAGGGGAUCUGAGCAUGAUGUUGGAGAGUCGCUGAAUGAUUAGGGGAUCCGGGCACGAUGCGGAGAGCCGUCGAAAUGACUAGGGAAUCAAGGCAUGAUGUCGGAGAGCCGCCGAAUGACUAGGGGAUUCGGGCAUGAUGUCGGAGAAUCGCUGAAAUGACUAGGGGAUCUGGGCACGAUGCCGGAGAGCCGCCGAAUGACUAGGGGAUCUGAGCAUGAUGUCGGAGAGCAGCCUAAAUGACUAAGGGAUCCGAGCACGAUGUCGGAGAGCCGUUGAAUGACUAGGGGAUCCAGGCACAAUGCUGGAGAGCUUUCGAAUGACUAGGGGAUCCGGGCAUGAUGCUGGAGAGCCAUCGAAAUGACUAGGGGAUCCGGGUACAAUGUCGGAGAGCCGCUGAAUGACUAGGGGAUCUGGGCACGAUGCCGGAGAGCUACUGAAUGAUUAAGGGAUCUGGGCACGAUGUCGGAGAGCCGUUGAAAUGACUAGGGGAUCCGGGCAUGAUGUCGGAGAGCCGUCGAAAUGAAAGGAAAUGAAAAGUAACAGCACCAUGAAAGAGGGGGGUAUGCCCUAGUGUGGCAUCCGAAAAUGUCAAUAAAUGACUCAAAUAAGUGAAAAGUUAAACCCGUCAAUCAUGACGAAAGAAAGGGAGUAUGCCUUAAUGUGACAUCAGAAAACACCGACAAACAAGAAAUGAAUAACCCUACCAACAAGAUAGAAAGAUGGGGUGUAUGCCCCUGUAUGACAACUCUUAAAUGUGACUAAAGGCACAAAGAAAGGGCCAUGCCCUAGUCUAAGGCAUCAAAACCAUGUUAGAAACCCACAACUGCACAUAGAGUCAAUGAUUCGUGCCCGAUUGGUGUUCCAAUUGAUUCAACUCAAUUGAUGUGCUUUGAUCUCAAUCCUCAGACGGGAGUAAUCAACAAAAUUUAUAAACCUAUUUCACUAUAUACCGGGGUAGCAUUUAGCUAGCAUAGUAUAGUGGCUCUAGGAUCGUCCACAAAGAUGGGUUUUCACUUUGCAAUUGAUAUUAGUUCAAAAACUGAAUUGGUGCUUUUUCUUUUCUUUGUUAGCUUUAAAAGAAGACAUAAGUUUGAAUGAAAACGGAUGGUAUUAAGCUAACCUAACAUAAAGUAACUAAAAUUAACUAGAAAGAAAUUAGAAAGAAAGGUGUUUCUUGGGAUUUCAGGUUACUAGGAUCAGGUGCCAACUGCAAAGUGGAAAAUUCCGGAUUUUUCUCCUCGCAUUGGGGAUUUAACCUAUAGUUAUUUCCCGAACCGGUUUAGGUUUAACAAUGAAGAUUUAAUCCAUAAAAAGUCAAUAGAAAUGGUAGUCAAGUUCCAUUAAUGGCUUUAGACAUUGUGGGUCUUCACCUUGAGCCACUUUCCAAUGACUCGUACAUGAUAACUAAUGGACUGAUAUGGAUCUAGCAAUAAGCAUCCACAGAGACCUGAAGCUUACCAUGUAUUGGCCAUUCAAAGUGAUUCUAAGGGAUUUAAAGCAAAACUUUAGAUUUAGAAUCCAUUUAUGAACUCUAACUACCUGUAUUUAACACACGAGAGUUUUCCACUUUAGCAUCUGGACUUUUCACCUAGCUUCCUUCACUCCAAGAAACCAAAGGUUUAGUCUCUCAUCCUCUGGGAAAACAUCCUCAGAGGUUGUUUGGCUUUCAAGAAAAAGAAAAAUAAAAGAGAAGGAAAAACAGAGCAAGGCUCUGUAUAUUCUAUAUAUUGAUCUAUUUUACAUACUUCUAUAUCUAUAUCUCCAUAUUUUACAAUGGAUGCAAGGGAAUAUAUAUAGAGAAGUUUUUCCAACCUUCCUAGCUAAGAAAUCUUAUGAUUGGUGGAUUACAAGGAGAAGAAUGGAAAUUUAUACAAAAAUAUCUAAAAGAAAAGAUCUCGUGUGGAGUUGGCAAAAUAGAGGAGAUUUCUCACCACGCAUGGGCUGGUGCGAAAUUGGAAGGUGUUGUGCGAAUUUCGCACAACCUGAAGGUGUUGUGCGAAUUUCAAGGUGUUGUGCGAAUUUCGCACAAGCCUGGAGCAGUUGUCUUCCGAAGGCCAUAUCUUCCUCAUUUCAGCUCCAAAUCAUACACGGUUUGAAGCGUUGGAUUUUUGACUUCCUGAGCUUUGAAAUGAUAUAUAGAAUGUAGAAAAUGGACUUCGGAAAGUGCUCCAAAAGUGCGAAGGAAGACUGAAGCUGCUGUCCUCUGUUUUCUUCACUUUGUUUGUUUUUCCUCUUUGCUUCUCUCCUUUACUUGGCUUGUCUUAAUGAUCCAAAAAGCUGUCAAAACACUAAAAGUAGCCAUAAAUAUGAUUGGAAGUCAUUGCUAGGUCCUUAACAUGCCAAUUGGGAUAAAGAUGGAGAACUACUACACAAAAGUGCUUAAAACAUAAUGAAUUAAAGGCGCAAAAUAGCACUUUUUGGGUAGUAAUCAGUCAAAGUCAAAAAGCUGAAAAUAUCACAAACAUCCAUCCUUGAGGAAAAACUCUCCACUCUAAUCCAUAACAUCCAAUAUCCAUAAAAAAACUGAUAGGGGGUAUGCCCCAGUGUGUACAUCUAAAACUCAAAUAUCUCAAUGAAAACUCUGAAAUACAUCAUUGAAGACCCAAUCGUCUGAGCUAGCGAAUAGGACAAUGAAUGGGGUAUGCCCCAGUAUGCACACCCCUGUUGGGUCAAUGAAUACCGUGAAUUUGAUCUCAGGUCAGCUCUUAGAAGCACUUUGCUGUAUGAAGAAACCAAGCUGAAUGUGGGGCUUACUCAAACUCUUAUAUCCAAAACAUAUUUAGGCGAAACGGACUGCCUGCGUACAUGUGUAAAAGCUGAAACCAGCAUGCAAGGAUGGGGGUAUGCCCCAGUAUGAACAUGUCAAAGCAUCAAGCAAAGGCGCCCUCAACGGUCCCAACUCUCUGUAUCAUUUGCCUCUGAUCAUAGACCUGAGACAAGACAAUUGAAUGGAAAGGCAAUAUGUGACCCUCGAUAUUCCCCGAAGCAAUGGAGACCUGUCGACAUCCCAUACUCAAUCAGUAGACGGAGCCUGUCCAAAUGAACCGCGUUGAAGCAGACACGAGAUCUCAUGGCCUCAAAGUGGUCUUAUGAAUCAGACCGUAAUGUAGGCCAGGGGUGAAAGGUGAAUGAAAUGAUGGGAAACAAAGGCCCAAAUACCCAAUAACUAAAUGCCAAACCCCUGUACGCAAUGCCAAAUAUCACAGAAUCAUGUGAGCAAGGUGACUCAACCUACAUCCAAAUGAAUAACAUCAAAUGAUAGGUGAUGUGCACCAAAGAACUCGUCAUUCAUAAAUGAGACGACAUUCGAUGAGGAUAGAAAAAGACAAAAAGGAAUAAGACAAAUGAUGAAUGGAUAUAGUAGAAAGUGGAGGAACAAGCUGGGAUAGAAAUGUGGCAAUGUGUGACAAUGAUGAACAACUCAUCCCAAGAGCGCCAGACCGAAGCAAGUCACUGUAAGAUGGGGAAGGUGAUGUAAACAAUGAUCCAGGGUACCGAGUGCCAAAGAAACCCAAACCUCACUCCUAAUGUGUCACCCAGAUCCAUGGAGAAGGAUUGUACAAUGCUCUCACCCAACUCUCAGAGAAUAAUAAGUCUCUUAAGCCCAAAUAACCUCUGAUGAUCCCAAGUAUAACAACAAAUACCAAACAAGCACUUUUUUUUUUUGCACCGAACAACCAAAGCUAGCUGAAUGCCACACUAGCAUAGUCCAACCAAAAGAACCUCAAACCUCUUUUCCCAAAUGGUCCCCCCUUAACCUAUGAAUCCUGGAUCAAAGCCUACAAGUGGAAUGAAGGGUGUGAUAGGCUUGACCUGUAGCUUCGGGACAAGAGCAUGUUAUCAUCACAUAAGAGAAAAUAGAAGCGAAUAGAGUCGAGAUGAUAGAAGUAGAAAUCAAAGGCAGAUGAAAUGAAAAUGCACAAUGGAUGAAAGAAGAAACCAUGAAUAACCAAAGAAAGAACACAUGAACAAUGACACAAAGCUCAUGAUACUCACAGAUCCAAUUAAUAAAUGCAAAGUGCACAGGAGCAGGCCCCCAACCCAGGUGAGAAAAGGUAUGCAAGGCUAAGUGAAUGAAUAGGCCAUAGCAAACCACAUGAGGCUCAACAGGCUAGCAAUAGGAUAUAUCAAUGUGUGGGUGUGCAACAGGGAAAAUGGAUACUAAAAAAUGAUGGCCACCCAUCCUCUGACCAUGAUCUCACGCAUAAAACUACUUUAGCUGAUCCACAUUGACUGGCUCCGUAAAUUGAUUUCCGUCUAGGUCCGUCAGCCAGGCGGCUCCCUCUCGGGUCAAAUCUCGAAUAACAUAAGGCCCGCUCCAAGUCGGUCUAAACUUGCCUCUAGGGUCACUGAUCAAUCCCCUGAGGACUUUCAAGACUAAGUCACCCUUUUGAAAUUUCCUGGGCUUAACCUUUUUUCUGAAUGCACGAGUCAUCUUCCUCUGAUAAGCCUGAACAUGAUCUGCUGCCCUCAAUCUCCUCUCAUCUAGAAGGCUAAGCUGGUCAUAACGGGACUUAGCCCACUCAAUCUCAGAUAUCUGCUACUCUAAUGCUACUCUCAAGGAUCCCAUCUCAAUCUCAAUAGGCAGCACCGCCUCCAUACCAUACACCAAAGAAUACGGGGUAGCCUCGGUAGAAGUACGAAAAGAUGUACGGUAAGCCCAUGAUGCAAAAGGAAGCUUUUCUGACCAAUAUGGAGAAGUCUCGACCAUCUUUCUCAAAAUCCUCUUGAUAUUUUUAUUUGUGGCCUCAACUGCCCCAUUAGUCUACGGCCUGUACGCAGACGAGCUGUGAUGCUGAAUGCCAUACUCCUGAAUCAAUGUAUCCACAUCGCCCCUGAAAUGCACCCCUUUGUAGGAAAUCAGCUCGUGGGGAACCUCAUAUCGGUAGAUAAUAUGCGACUUGAUGAAUUUGGCCACCCUGGCCACUCUCAAUCUAGCAUAAGAAGCAACUUCCACCCACUUGGUGAAAUAAUCAACGGUAACUAAGAUGUACUCGUGCCCGCUGGAAGACUUGGGCGAGAUCUUUCCAAUAACAUCAAUACCCCACACUGAAAAUGGCAAAGGGGAUGUGAGUGCAUGCAACUCCGAAGGUGGCACGUGAAUGAGAUCACCGUGCAUUUGGCACUUUGGGCACCUCUGAACGAACUGGCAACAAUCUGCCUCCAUGGUCAACCAGAAAUAACCUGUCCUCAUAAUCUUUCGGGCCAACAUAUUUCCUCCCAUGUGUGGGCCACAAACUCCUGCAUGAACCUCUCUCAUCACUCGAUCUGCAGAGGCACGGUCUAAACAUAACAAUAAUAAGCCCUCGGGCCAUCGUCUGUACAGGGACUCUCCACAAAUCAUGAGUCUAGUGGUUAGCUGCCUUAAAGCUCUCCUAUCCUUGGUUGAGGCUGACUCAGGGUAAGCGCCACAUAACAGGAAUUGAUAAAUGUCAUGAUACCAGGACAACUCAUCCUGGUCCUCAAUAUCCCCAAUCAAACAACAGUAAGUUGGUGCAAACCUAGUCUCAAUUAGCAAUGGUCGCACAAUCACUCCCGCAGGAAUCUUAAUCACAGAAGUCAAGGUGGCUGAUAUCCCGACUCUUGGUAGCUUGGCAUGUAAGGGUAUCAACAAAAUUUAUACCUAAGGUCCUUACACUAAAGUAGCAAAGCUACUAUAGCAUAGUGGCUUUAGGAUCGAACACUGGGAAGGGUUUUUACUUUAACUGGUGAAGUUCGGAGGAUGGAGUGAACUUUUCUUAAUAAAAAUUAGGUUAAGAUGAAAACAUAAAAAGAUGAAGGUGUUGUAAACUAAACUAACAUGAAAAUAGGUUAAAAGAUGGAAAAAGAAGUUUCUCAAAGCUUUGGAUAGCCAUGCUUAACUCACUGUGUAAAAAUGGAGAUUUUGGGACUUUUCACCUCGAGUUGGGGAAGUAACUAAGGUGAUGCUUACUUCUCGAACCGGUAUGAGUUGUUACAACUGAGUUUUAGUCCUUGAAAACUUACAAAAAGGGUAGCUGAACCUCAUAAAUGCUCUUUUAUUGGUAUAGGUCAUCUCCUCGACUUGCAAUACAAUGGCUCGUAGGAGAUAACUAAUGAACGUCAGUGGAUCUAACAAUAAGAAUCCACUGAGACCAAAAGGUUAUCAAGUAUUGGCCAUUCAAAGCAAGUCAGAGGGAUUAAAAGCUUUACUUUGAAUGAAAACAUUUAUGACGCUCAACUACUUACAUUUAUGGCUUGGAAAUCUCCAUCCUGACACGGGAGCUUCACAUGGCAUCCAUUACUUCAAGAAACUAAAAGGUUUUAGCCUCUCAUCCUUGGGGAUUUCAUCCUCCAAGGAUGUUUGGCUACUAAGAAAAUGAGAAAGAAAAGAGAAAAGAAGCGUAUGAACAAAAGUGCUCUUAUAACUUAUAAAGUUACAGGUUACAAGAUUAUCGUGUCUGAGGCUCUUCACCUCUAUUUAAAGACAAUAAAAAGCUAAAUUACAAGAGCUAUUACAAAAGCAACCUUUUCAUUGGUUGAUUACAAGGGUAAAAUAGGUAUUUACAAAGCUAAAAGUCAAGCAAAAUAUCUUGGAGAACCGGCAGUGGAAUAUCAUUAACAACGUCUCAAAACAGGGGAUUGCGAAAUUUGGCAUUUCGCAAGGUGCCUAAAUCCACCUUGCGAAAUUUCGCAAGAUGGUUUCUUCAUGGUGCGAAAUGGCCAAAUUUCGCACCAUGAGGAAAAUCCCCUUGCAAAAUUUUGGCAAGGUGAAAUUCACCUUGCGAAAUUGGUCAUUUGGCAAGGUGAAUUGCCUCCCCUUGCGAAAUGGUGUUCCCAUUGCUUGUGCUCGUGUUUCCACUUGAAAUUCAAGCCUGUAAAUGUCCAAAAUCCUUGCUUAACUCGCCCAAGUAGCUCCUUCAUCAAUUGGCAUGCUUGAAUUGGUUCAUAAGCUGAUGAAAAACAUGUAAACUUGCCACUAAAAAUGGUUAGAACUAAUUACUAAUGAGCUUAUUGAAUUAAUUAGGUUAAAUGAAUAUGAUUACUACUCAAAGGUGCUUAAAACCCUUAUAAUUAGGUCUACAAAAUAGCACUUUUCGGUAGUAAUCAGUGGCUAACGCAUCAACAAACUGAUUUUCUGCCCUAGGCAGAUGUAUAUAUCUCAACUCCUCAAACCUAUCAACCAACAAAUCCAAAUAAGCAUGAUAGGGCUUCAACUUCUCAUCCCAAGUCCUCCAAAUACCCUGAGUCUGUUGAAUAACCAAGUUGGAAUCCCCGUGGAUCUCCAACUGUUUGACUCCAAGGUCUAGCGUAGUCUCCAGACCUGUGAUGCACGCCUCAUACUCAACAAUAUUAUUCGUCAGUCGAUAAUGAUCAGAGAAUGCCAACCACACUGAUUUGGGAAUAUGAUCACCCUGAGGUGAUAUCAAUAGGAUACCUAUACCAAACCCCGACUGAUUGGCAGCACCAUCAAAGUACAAUCGCCAUCCUGCAAUACUGGUCACUGAGACAAACUACUCAUCAGGGAAAUCAUCAUCAAUUGGUCUGUCGUCAGAUACUGGCAAAGAAGCCAAAUGAUCUGCAAUAAUGCUCCAUUUUAUUGAAUUCUGUGUAACAUACUGAAUAUCAAACUCUGUUAACAGCACCAACCAUCUCAUGAGCCUACCAGUCAGGACAGGCCUGUCAAACAAAUAUCUCAAUGGAUCCAAUCGCGAGACCAAUAAUAUGGAAUACUCUGUCACGUAGUGCCUCAGCCUCCUAGUGGCCUAAACCAAUUCUAAAUAGAGGCGCUCAAUCAUAAUGUAUCUACACUCAUACUCCCGCAUCCUCUUACUCAGAUAAUAAAUGGCUUGCUCUUUCCCUAAAUCAUCAAGCUGAGCUAAACGGACAAGUACAAAACUGGAGGAGAGAGGAGACACUCCUUAAUCUUCUCGAAAGCGCGCUAGCAAUCAUCAUUCCAAACUAUAGGCUGGUUCUUCCUCAGAAGAAGGAAAAUAGGCUCGCAUAUGUCUAUCAAUCUAGCAAUGAAACGACUGAUAUACUGUAGUCUGCUAAGAAAGCCUCUAAUCUCUCUCUCAGUCCUCGGAGCAGGCAUGUCAAGUAUGGCUCUGAUCUUUUCGAGAUCAACCUCUAUACCACGCUCACUAACGAUGUGUCCUAGUAAUUUCCCAGAAGUCACCCCAAAGGUACACUUCUUGGGAUUCAAUCUUAGCCUGAACUGUCGGAUCCUCUCAAAGAAUCUUUGUAGUGCUGCUAAGUGAUCUGCCCUGUCUCGGGACUUCACUAUCAUGUCAUCCACAUAUACCUCGACAUCUCUGUGCAUUAUGUCAUGGAAUAAAGUAGUAGCAACUCUCUGAUAAGUGGCUCUCGCAUUCUUCAACCCAAAUGGCAUAACCCGGUAGCAGUAAGUACCCCACUCAGUGAUGAAAGAAGUCUUCUCCAUAUCCUUUAGAGCCAUCAGAAUCGGAUUAUACCCAGAAAAUCCAUCCAUGAAGGACAACAUUGAAUGCCUGUAGUGCUAUCAACUAGCAUAUCGAUGUGCGGAAGGGGAAAAUUAUCCUUAGGAUUGACCUUGUUCAGAUCUCAAAAGUCAACACAAACUCUAACCUUGCCGUCCUUUUUAGGAACAAAGACGACAUUAGCCAGUCACUCAGGAUACUCAACCACUGACAAGAAGCUAACACCGAGUUGCUUCUGAAUCUCCUUUUUCACCUGCAAACUCCAUCGAGGGUGUAGUCUCCUCAAUUUCUGCUUAAUUGGCCUAGCAUGUGGCAAAAUGGGUAGGUGAUGCUGAACUAUAGUGGGGUCAAGGCCCGACAUGUCCUCAUACGACCAUGCAAAUACAUCCAAGUAUGACCUGAGUAGGUCAAUCAAUCUACUCCUCUCAUCAGGAGAUAGGGAAGAGCCAAUCCUAAGCUCCCUGGGCUGGUCAGGUGCCCUAAAAUCCAUCAACUCAAUGCUACCAGAAAUGGGUGUAACUUUCCUGUCCUCCGUAUCUGAAUCAGAAUCACACUCUAACUGACCACUCAGUGGGUCAUCCGUGUCUCCCACAUCAUCAACAUCGCAUACAUGUGCGGUGGGUGCUGGUGGUGCAAUCAAAGGAAAAUGUUGUGACACAUGCAAAUAUUUGAAAAUACUCAUGUCAUUAUUACCAUAAGAAAUGUCAUCAAAGCGGGUGACAAACCUAGACAUAGUGUCAAAAGAAAGAGGUGGGUCCAUAGAGUCAGACGCUUCCUCAACAUAAACAAUAUCAUGAGUAAUAUCAGUUGCAACAAGUCCAUCACCAUCAAACUCAAGCAUAGAAAUCCCAAACACAUCAAAAGCGGAUCGAGGCCCAGGUGGGGAAGCAUCCAAAAUGCGGCCAGUGCCGAUCAUGUCCAUCGCGUCAAUGCAAGCGUCAUAAAGUGUCACAUCAUCAGAAUCAAUCAUAGAAACUCCAAACAAGUCAAAAGCAGAAUGGGGCUCACACGGGGCUGUGUCAAGGAUACGGCCAGUGCCGAUCAUGUCCAUCUCAUCCAUAUAAGUAUCAGGUAGAAUCACACCAUUGGAACCAUCUCCCAAAUCCAUAGGCAUGUCAUAGUUAGGGAUUUCCUCAAGAAAGCACAUGGAAACACACAGGCUCAAUCCGAUGAUGGGGAUGCAACUAUCAUGGCCUUGGGUGGCUCGGUGGUCUCAAAACUCAAACACAUCUGUCCUAGGGCCUGCUGAAUGCCCUGAAUCUCAACUGCCUCAGGAACACAGUCAACUCCCUCUGUUCAGGGUGCAUGCUCUGAUCCUAUGGUAAAAUAGUCAGCCAACUGAAAAGUGUAUUGGUGAAUGGGGUAAUUAAAUGGAACCCUGGACAAGCGAGCUCUCACCCUAUCCCGGUGCAGUCGCGCUAUGUGUCAUGCAUCCUCCUCAGAAGGAGUGUAACCCAAUCCAUGUGGUAUGUCAUGAUCAACUGUGAAAGCAAACUCGCGCGGCCCUUGCUGACGGUGACCCAAUCCCAAGCCAAGCAUAUAGGACAUGGCUCUCAUCAUACUGAGUACCAGAGUGCUGCUGUACUAAUCAAAAGACAUAGGUACCAUGUCUCUGCUGUCAUCCUCUAAACUGAUAACCUGAACCAUGUCAAAAGUAAAUCUGGUGAAGUGCAAGUCAUCCUCACUGUGACUGAUCUGUAACACUGGCUCGAAAGACGUAACAACGUCUUUGUCAGACUGUAUCGUUAUAAUGUGCCCCUCGUGUGUGAACUUCACCUUCUGAUGAAGGGAAGAUGGUAUAGCACUCGCCUCAUGAAUCCAGAGGCUACCCAGAUGCAGGUUAAAGGAUGACUGAAUCCUUAGAACCUGGAAAAGCACUGAGUAUAUGACUGGCCCAAUCAUAAUGUGUGCAGUAAUCAUACCCAUAACUGUCCUCUGAGUCCGGUCAUAAGCGUUGACGGUUUAAGCGUUGACGGUUUAUGUAGAAAGCCCAAAAUCAGAUGGAGAAAAGCCAAGGGCGAUGGCUGUAGCCAAAGGACAAACAUUCAGGGUAAAGUCAUUGUCCAGCAAGACUGUUGGCACUCGAUGGCCUGAACAUGCAACACUGACAUACAAAGGGCGAAUGUGACUUGAUUCCUCUAGUGGCAAGUCAUCGUUGGAAAACACAAUGCACGUAGCCCUAUCAACUGUCAGAAAGUGAAUCAGCCCCUCUGGGGUGGUAGCAGUAUCAACUCUAAUUUGGCCAAGGGCUCUGACCAAUGCAUCUCUAUGUGUGCUAGAUGAGGCCAAUAGGCUCCAAAUGGAUAUGCGAGCUUGCGUGGUGCGCAACUGGCACAAUAUCUCAUCAUUCUCUCUUUGAACAUCCUUUCUAGCAUUUGUGCCAGCAAAAGGCCUGUCAAUGUGUGGAGGUUGAGCUAUUUUCCCACUCCGUGUGACAAUCUGAACAUAUCUGUGAACAGGCCCAUACUCUUCCGAGAACAGAAUGAAGGUUGUCAUGGGCGGAACAUGUUAUAAGUAUACCGACGAUACUACUAUCUAUCGGGGAAUCUCAUCUGGGAUCAAUCUGAAUGGCCUGGGAGCCUGCUGUCCAUGGAUAUUUCCACUAAAAUCUGAGUCCUCGUACAGACUAAUAGGCUGAGAAGCCUCUUCGUCCCACCCCAUCAUGAAUAUCUCAUCCCUUGAAAACUCAAUCAAAUGUACGCCCCCCGAGGGUGGAGGUACAACUCUAGUGUCAUGAGUAGGUAGUGGGUUUGUACUCACUGCAGGGCAUCCUAAAUAAACCAAACCCUGAUCAAUCAAGUCCUAAAUGGCAUGCCUCAGCAUCGCACAAUUGUUUGUGUCAUGGCCAGCUCUCUGAUGGUAGGCACAACGAAGAUCUGUCUUGAAUCCUGGUGGGGUAGGAUGUGGUGGUGGUCUGGUUGGUAGUGGAGCAAUCAAACCCCCCUCAACCAAUCUUUAAAAUGCUCGGCUCAAAGGCAUCCUUAGCUGUGUAAACUGCCUAGCCGACCUCGGUGGAGGCGGUGCUCUAUACUACUGAUGGAACUAUACAGGUGGCCUCUGAGGAGCCUAUGUAGCAUAUAUCGGAUGAGGUGUCGGAUGUAGAUAAGUAGGCGCUGUCGGCCUAUAGGGAGCAGCUGGUCUGUACUGAUCCUGCUGUAUCAUUUGGUAAGGAGUGUCUAAGAACUAUUUUUGAGAAGGAGGGCGACGAGGGGACCUGUGCCCUGUAGUGCCAAUGGUACCAACAUCUGAAGGCUUGGAUCCUGACCCCGGUUUCUUCCCCUUUGAGUCUGAAGGGGAAGAGUCUGCCCAUAAUCCUCUAGCUAUGCCCUCCUCAAUGCCAUAGAGAGAACCAAUGAUCCAAAGUCUGUCUAUGGAAAGCCCAUGAGAUGCCUGGAAAAGCGGGGUUGAAGACUGCGCAUAAUCAUGCUGAUCUGAUCACGCUCGGAGGGUCUAUUUAUAAUCUAUGCUAUCUUCUCCCUCUAGCGGGAGAUGAAUGAAGUAACUGACUCAUCUGGCCUUUGCCUGAGGGCCUCUAGUUUCCUCUGGGAUACAUCCACUACAGUAUUAAAAGAAUACUAUCUAAGAAACUCUUGUGCCAAAUCAGCCCAUGUCCUACGCCUCGAAGGGUCCAAUGAGGCAAACCAACGCUGAGCGGCACCACUCAGAGACAGAGGGAAUAGCAUGAUCAUCUGUGCCUCAUCCAAUCUAUGCCCAUGCAUAACAGCGUUAUACAACUGUAAAUGAAUACGGGGGCACCUUAUCCCCGUGUACCUCUUAAUGUCCAGCAUGCGGAACUCAACUGGCAAAGUUGCCACUGGCAAGUCAUCAGAUCCAUCCCAACCCAUCACUUCAUGAGAAACAUGCAGAGACCUGAUCCUCUGCUCAAUCCUAUCGAUACUGGCUUGAGUGUCAUCAACAAUUUGUGCAGGUGCCACAACAGAAUGUGGCGUAGUCUCAGUCUGACCAUGUAAGACAAAGGCCCCAGCACGUGGGGGUAACUGAACUGGGGGUGGUGGCGAAGGCGGAACUGUAUAGUCCUACUAUACAGUAGGCCCAGAUGGCAGUGGUGGAGGUGGAGGUGCAGUAGAGUCAAACGGGACUCCUCGGAACCGGAAAUGGCUGGGCCUAGUGCCCAUCUAUCCUCUGACCCAGUCCUAAAAUAGCAUCUUGGAGUGAUGCCAUGG
rnacentral:lncRNA from 1 species